ACCACCACCACCCCCACUACUCCCAGAAAAUGGAAAGCUUUUCUCCCACCUGGGCUGUAUAUGCACUCGCCUGGGUUGCAACGGUGGUUAUCGCCCAUCUCUCGAAGCAUUUCCAUCAGCAAAAACUCAACCUCCCACCGGGUCCAAGGCAAUGGCCUAUAAUUGGAAACUUAAACCUCAUUGGCACCCUUCCUCAUCGUUCACUCCAUCAACUCUCCCUAACAUAUGGUCCCCUAAUGCACCUUCAAUUCGGCACCUUCCCAGUUGUCGUUGGCUCCUCCGUGGAGAUGGCCAAAGUUUUCCUCAAAACCAUGGACGUCACAUUUGCAGGGAGGCCUAAAACUGCAUCCGGAAAAUAUAACUCUUAUGAUUGCACCGACAUGACUUGGUCCGCUUACGGACCAUAUUGGCGCCAGGCACGUAAGAUUUUCCUUACGGAAUUAUUCAGUGCAAAAAGACUCGAAUCAUAUGAACAUAUUCGGGUGGAAGAAAUGAAUUCGCUUCUGCUACAGCUAUUCAAGUCAUCAGGCAAGCCUGUCGUGUUGAAAGAUUAUCUUUCAACAGGAAGUUUGAACGUGAUUAGCAGGAUGGUCCUGGGGAAAACAUACAUUGAUGAGUCUGAGAACUCAAUUGUCACGCCCGACGAGUUCAGGCAAAUGAUGGACGAGCUUUUUUUGCUGACUGGUGUGUUUAACAUUGGUGACUUCAUACCUUGGAUCGAUUUCUUGGAUUUGCAGGGGUAUAUCAAGAGGAUGAAAAUCUUGAGCAAGAAAUUUGAUAGGUUUCUGGAGCAUGUUCUCGAUGAGCAUAAUGCCCAAAGGAAGGACGACACUAAUUGCGUCAGCAAGGACUUGGUGGACGUCCUUCUGGGCCUUGCAGAUGAUCCCACUUUGGAGGUGAAGUUAGAGAGGCGUGGAGUCAAGGCAUUGACUCUGGUAUAUGUUACUUACAAACUGCACAACGCAUGCUGUCAACUUUUAAACGACUGAAAACUUGAGAGAAAAUAGUCAGUGAUCUUUUGAACUUGAAUACUCCUCAAAAUUUUCUUUGCUACUGAAAACUUGAGAGAAAGUAGUCAGGAUCUUUGUAGUUUGAUGAAAAUUUUUCAGUGGAGGCAGAAUUAACAAGAAAAUUCUUUUUAAUCCUUCUAAAAGAAAUUGCUUUUGAUAAAGGUACUCAAGUAAGUAAGAAAAUUGUUGGCCAAGUACAGUCAAUUUGCAACUUAAAAACGUUUCUUGCUGCACUUUGCGUAAUGAUUGAACUCUAGGACCUACUUGCUGGUGGAACCGAGACCUCAGCGACUACAGUAGAAUGGGCCAUUUCGGAGCUACUGAAAAACCCAGAAAUAUUCAACAAGGCAGCCGAAGAACUCGACCGUGUUAUCGGUCAGAAUCGAUGGGUGAACGAGAAGGACAUGCCAAAUCUUCCUUACAUAGAGGCUGUUGUUAAAGAAACAAUGCGUAUGCAUCCCGUGGUCCCAUUGCUAGUGCCAAGAUGUGCUCGCGAAGAUUGCAAAGUUGCAGGGUACGAUAUUCAAAAGGGAACUCGAGUCAUCGUCAACGUUUGGUCAAUUGUGAGGGACCCUGAAUUGUGGGAGAAGCCAGAGGUAUUUUGCCCCGACAGAUUCAUGGGAAAGGACAUUGACUUCAAAGGGCAAGACUGUAAGUUCUUGCCAUUUGGUGCUGGAAGAAGAAUGUGCCCAGGGUAUAGUUUAGGCCUCAAGGUUAUCCAAUCUAGUUUGGCCAAUCUUUUACAUGGAUACAGAUGGAAGUUGCCAAAUGACAUGAAACCUGAGGACCUGGACAUGGAAGAAAGAUUCGGCAUUACUACACCAAGAAAAAUCCCACUUGUUGCCAUUGUUGAGCCUCGGCUUCCUCGUAAUCUUUAUUGACUAUGAUUCACUACGUGUAUGUUUGAUCUCCCAGUAUCAUCAUUAUCAACUUGUGUUCAAAUAAAUCAGCUCUGCAAGUUUAGAAUUUGUAGCUGCGCUUAUAUGUGUUUGCCAAUUGCUACAACGCUACAAACCCUUGUAGUUGGUGCAUGGCAUAUGCGUAAUCACUGAGAUUGUUAUGCGUAUUGAAUUCCAAAUUUGUUCACAAUUAUGUGAAACUGUGAAUAUGCACACCCCUGAUGUUUCAAAUACAUUCUAUAAAAUUCUGAUGCUAAUUUAAAUCUGCAAUAGCAGGCACACAGUCAAAGCAAUGUGCUCUCUGCCAUCUUUCCUCUUAGCAUCUUCCAUCAAUUCCUGUGCACCUCUAAGCCAUGCCACUGGAUUGGUGCUACUUUCCGUACUUGUUGGGGGGAAGAGAGAAAGAGAAAAAAAAAAGAGCGGAGGGUGAGGUGGCUGCGGCAGUGAUGGCAUGGGAAGGGAGGGAAGAGGAAGAGCAGUAGUGGUGUGGUGCGGAGAGACAGAAGAAGAAGAGAGGAGAGAAAAGAAAAAAGAAAAAAAAGGGAAAAAAAGCAAGAUUUGGAAUUUUUUCAAACCGUCAAAUGCACAAAAGUUUUCUUAAAGUUUUAUAGUAAAGUGUUAUUCUUGGUUUUGAUGAUCACAAAAGUUUGUUUAUACAGACCAAGAAAGUGAACACUUUGAUCAGGUCUGUUGGAACAAAGAAAGCGUAUGUUCGUUUAUCUCCUGACUACGUUGCUUUGGAUUUGGAUGUGGCAAACAAGAUUGGAAUAAUAUGAAUGAAUUUAGUCAUUGUUUUGUUUUCGAUCAAAGAUAUUGUCUUUUAAGUAUGUCUAGUUUGUCAUUCUUGGUACUUUGAAAUAUUUGUCUAACCUUCCUCAAAUACAAGUGUUUUUUUGUCUAUCCAAGAAUCAGGUUCAAAUAUGUCAUGAAAUGUAAAACAACCAAAAUGAGAAGCAAAAACAGGACAAUCAGGUCGGACGGCCGAAAGGAAACUGUCGGACGUCCGAAAAGAUAAAGAACAUCAGGAAGGAAGCACCGUCGGACGCUCACAUGGAAGCAUCGGACGUCCGGAAGGAUCGGACGCUUGCCAUCGGACGUUAAUCAACCGCAUCGGACGUCCGAAAAAUUCCAAGAUAACUUGCUAGCUCUCGGCCCAAGGUCGGACGCUGUGCUGUCGGACGACAAAGAACUUAUCGGACGUCCGAACCUCAACUUGGCUAUCAUCGGACGAUUGGUUCGGACGAUGAUUCGAUCGUCGGACGUCCGACAGCCCCAACGGCUAGUUGACUCUUCAGCUGCCUUCUAUCCGUUGGAAGCAUUGAUGAAGCCCAUUUCUGGAUCCCUUUAAAAUCAAACUGGUCUGAACGAAGUAGGGACUUUUGCUCACUUUGUUUACAAGUUCUCAAGAGAUAUUUUAGCUAGAAAAUAGUCUCCAAAGCAGAUUUGUAUUAAAGUGGUGUGAAUUUCUGUUGAGCAUUUCUUUUGUGGUUGAAAGGAUCUUUAGUGUAGCUUUGUUGAGGGUUUUCUGAGUGAUUGUAAAACUUCCUAGCUUGACUAAGUGAGGCUUAGGGCAAGGAGGAAGAGCUCCCUCCAUUGUACAUCUAGUUGAUCUUCGUUCAUCAAAGAGAAGUUGCUCUUCCUAGUGUUUGGUCUUCAAGUUUGGGUAAAGCUUGGUAGACACUUGGUUUGUUUCUCUAUUUUAUAUUUCUGUUUAAUAAAAUCUUCAUUGCUUAUCUAUACUUGCUUCUCUGAUUAAUAUUGCUAUUGUCUUCUAAUCUACUUGGUUGAUCAUUACUAAAAAGGAAGGUAAAUUUUCAUUAAAGAAAAAGUGCAUAAACUUGGUUAAGUUUUUAAUCAACCAAUUCACCCCCCCCUCUUGGUUGUCUGUGGGACUUACAAUUGGUAUCAGAGCUUGGUCUCUUUUGAUCAAGCUUAACCGCUUAGAGUAAAGAUCAUGGCAACCAUAAAAGUUUCUUUUUUAGAAGGGCAAUCUAUUGAUAGACCACCUAUGUUUAAUGGUUCUCAUUUUAGCAUGUGGAAACAAAGAAUGAUGAUUUUCUUACAAUCUGUUUACAUUGAAUUAUGGUAUGUGGUAGAAGAUGGUCCUUAUGAAGCUAGAAUAGUUGACUCUAUCACCAAUUUGAGUAGAUUAAAGACUAGACAAGAAUUGAAUGAAAAAGACAAGAGAUACCUUUCUUUGAAUGCCAAGGCCAUGUGUAUAUUGUACAAUGCAUUAGAUGUAAAUGAAUCUACUAGGAUUAAAGGUUGUAAAUCAGCUAAAGAUAUUUGGGAUAAAUUGUGUGUAUUUCAUGAAGGUAAUCAAGAUAUUAAAGAACAAAAGAAAUCUUUACUUGUUUCUCAAUAUGAAUUUUUCAAAAUGCAUUCUCUUGAAAAUGUUGAUAAGAUGUGUAGUAGAUUUUGUGACAUUAUUGAAGAACUUAAAUUGCUUGGAAAAGAAUAUUCUUUGGAUGAGAAAAAUAGAAAGAUUUUGAAUGCCUUGCCAAAAGAAUGGGAAAACAAAAUAAAUGCUAUAGAAGAGGCAAAGGAUUUAAAUUCUAUGUCCAUUGAAUCUCUUGUGGAUACCCUAACCUCUUAUGAAUUAAAGCUGGAAUUCAAAGUGCAAGAGGAAGAAAAUGCAAGAAUGUAUAAGAGAGGCAUAGCUUUUAAAGCAUCUCAAGUGGGGGAUAACCCAUCCUUCAUGGGUAAUGAAAUCAUGGAAGUGGACAAUGAUAUAACUCCUCACAUCAAAAGUUUCAAGAAGAUCUUCAACAAGAGAUGUUCAAGAGGAGAUUGCAAAAUUACAUGGGAUGAAUGCAAUUCAAAAAGAGAAAAAGAAGAGUUGUCCCAAAUGGCACUAAUGGCCGUUGGAGAAGAUGAGGUAAGUUCUUAUCACUCUUCUUGUGAUGAAGAUAAUGAAGAUGAUGAUGUGAAAACUCUUAUGAUUAAAAUGCAUAAAAGUUUGAAAAAAUCUUAUGCUAAAAAUAAAGAUUUGAAAACAAAAAUAAAUGAUUUGUUGGAAGAAAACUCCAAACUUUUUCAAGAAAACAAAUGUUUGAGAAUGGAAAAUGAUGAUUUAAAAAAUCAAAAAGGUGUUUUUGAUUGCAAAAAUAAUUUGAAAAGAAAGUUGGAAGAGAAAACAAAGUUUUAUGAAAAAAUGUUGGAGGAACAAAAUUUGUUAAAGAAAAGAAUUAAUGACUUGAACGAGGUUCUCCAAAAUGAAAAACAAAAGUUUUCUCAAACAAAAGAAAGCAAAUCUUUUCAAGGCACAAAUAAGUUUGCUAAGAAAAUUAGUUGCAUUAAAUCCACUUAUAUGCAAAAUACUUCUAUCAUGUGUCACUUUUGUUGCCAAUUUGGACACAUGUAAAAUGAUUGCUAUGUAAAGAAAAAUAUGAGAAAAGAUAUGAAAUCCAUGUGGAUUGCUAGAUCAUGUUGUAAUAACUCCCAAGGACCCUAUUAUGGUCUUGACUUGAAAAAUAAAGGGGGAGUUUGUUUUUUGAUUGAUGCCAAAAGGGGGAGUAGGAUUUAUUGAAAUUUCUUUGCAUGUUGGCACUUUCUAAGGGGGAGCUUUAUUUGAACUUAUUUGAUAAAAGAAAUCUUCAUUUUGUUUGUCAUCAUCAAAAAGGGGGAAUAUCCACCAGAUCAUACCAAAAGAAACUUAAAAUAUCCAUUACAAUACAUAUUCAUUGUUGAAUACCACAAACACGUAAAGAUGACAACCAGUCAUGCUAUGUUUGUUGAGGGGCAAUCUGUUACUAGGCCUCCCAUGUUCAGUGGCUCUAACUAUGUUAGCUGGAAAGAACGAAUGAUUAUCUUUUUGCAAUCUAUCGAUAUUGAACUAUGGUUUAUUGUGAGUGAAGGACCGCAUGAAGCUAACUUUCUUGAUGCAGAUACAGGGUUGCUUCGGCCAAAAACAAGAGUUGAAAUGAAUGCUCAAGAUAGGACUAACCACAUUGAAUGCCAAGGCCAUGAAUGUUAUUUAUAGUGCCCUAGAUUCAAAUGAAUCAAUCAGAGUAAAAGGCUGCAAAUCGGCUAAAGAAAUGUGGGAUAAACUAAGAGAAAUCCAUGAGGGUGGUGACAAUGUGAAAGAACAGAAAAAGGCCAUCUUGGUCACGAAAUAUGAAUCAUUUAAAAUUGAACCUCUUGAGGAUAUUGACAAAAUGUAUUGCAGGUUCACUGACUUGAUCAAAGAUCUCGAGGCGUUGGGCAAAGAGUACACCUUGGGAGAGAAGAACAGGAAAAUUCUCAAUGCCUUGGGCAAAGAAUGGGAAAAUAAAGUGACAGCAAUAGAGGAGGCCAAGGAUUUAAGUUCUGUGCCUAUUGAAUCUAUCAUUAACUCACUAACCACUUAUGAGUUGAAACUGAAAUCUAAAGUGCAGGAGGAAGAGGAUGCUAGAGCAAAGAGAAACAUUGCUCUAAAGACUACUCAAGGUGAAGAUGAUUCUGCUCAUCUGGAUGAUGAAGACUCGGAUGGUGAUGAUAAUGAUCUUGCUCUCAUCACCAGAGGCUUCAAAAGAAUCCUGAAUAAAAGAAAGUUUAGAAGGGGAGGACCUAGCAAUCAAUUCCAGAAUCAGCCAUCUAUCGCAAAGUAUAAAGGUAAACAAGAUUUCAACAAGAAACAGUUGGACAAAUGCUUCGAAUGUGGACAGAUUGGACAUUAUGCAAACGAAUGCCCCAUGAAGAAGAUGAAAGAUGGAAAAGCUGAUCGAAAGCCAAGAUUCAACAAUUUUCAGAUUACUUGGAAUGAAUGCAACUCCGAAGGGGAAGUUGAAGAAGAAGAAGAAUCUGCUCAAAUGGCCUUCAUGGCUAUUGGAAAUAAUGAGGUAACCUCCACACACUCUCAAUCUGAAAGUGAUAAUGAUGAAGAUGAUGAUCUUGAAUCUUUUGUUGAAAAACUGCAUAAUGCCUUGAAGGAAUCCUAUGAUAAAAACAAGCAGUUAAAACAGAAAAUGGCUUUUCUCAUUCAAGAAAAUGCAAGUCUUUUUCAACAAAAUAAACAACUAAAGACCGACAAUGAAAGUCUAGUAAGAGCUGGAUGUAAUGUUCAAGAUGAGCUUGAUAGAAAGACAAAUAUUUGUGAAAUGCUGAAGGAAAGACAUGGUGAUUUGAAAAAAAGGAUGGACAGCUUGGAUGAGAAUUUGAAAGCAAGAAAGCAGGAGUUUAACAAAAGGAACAUGUUAUCUACACAUCCUACUACUUUUCAAAGAACAUUUGCACACAACAAAAUGGCACAUGGUUUCACAACAUAUAGAAGAGGUGAAUUAAGAUAUGUCAAACCAGUACAUGUUAAGGACUCUUCCAUUAUGUGUGUUUUUUGUUGUCAAAGAGGGCAUUUGAAAAGUAAUUGCUAUGUGAAAAGAAAUCUGAAUAAAGGGAUGAAGUGCAUGUGGUUAGUUAGAUACAAUGCUAACUAUUAUGGACCCAAAAAUUAAAAAGGGUACCAAACACGUUAUCUUUUCAGGAUAAAGGAUCAAACAAGUCAAAAUGGUUUAUUGAUAGCGGCUGCUCAAGGCACAUGACCGGUGAUCCUUCCUUGUUCAUAAAGCUGAAAUCAAAAUCAAGUGAAAAUGUAACAUUUGGUGAUGAUGUGAAAGCUAAGACAAUUGGAAUAGGUGAUGUUGGUAAGGAUGGUGAAACUUUUGUUCAUAAUGUGCUCUUGGUUGAUAACUUAGGUUAUAACUUGCUUAGUGUUAGUCAACUGUGUGAUAAAGACUUGUAUGUGUUAUUUAAAAAGCAUGAAUGCAUUGUACUUGAUUCCAAAUAUAAUGUUGUGUUCAAAGGUAAGAGGUUUAAUGACAUAUAUAUUGUGAUUCUUGAUAAAGUUGAUUCUUCUAGCUUAAAAUGUCUUAAAGCUUCAAAUGAAGAUUCUUGGUUGUGGCAUAGAAGACUUUGUCAUUUUAACAUGGAUUUACUAAAGGAAAUUUCGAAAAAGGAGUUGGUUAGAGGCUUGCCAAAAAUUAGUUUUGAUAAGGACAAAAUAUGUGAUGCAUGUCAAUUUGGGAAGCAAACUAAAAUUUCUUUUAAACCAAAAAUGUGUGUAUCUACUUCAAAACCUUUGGAACUCUUGCAUCUUGAUUUAUUUGGUCCCACUCAAAUCACUAGCUUGGGAGGUAAAAAAUAUUGUUUUGUAAUUGUUGAUGAUUAUUCCAGAUACACUUGGGUGAUAUUUCUUGCUCAUAAAGAUGAUGCCUUCAAGAAUUUUACUUCAAUGUUUGCUAAAGUGCAAAAUCUGCUUGGGUUAAAAAUUGUUAGGAUUAGAAGUGAUAAUGGGACGGAAUUCAAGUAUUGUGGUUUUCCAGAAUUUUGUGAUCAUAAUGGUAUAACACAUGAGUUUUCUAUUGCAAGGACUCCACAGCAAAAUGGUGUUGUAGAAAGGAAAAACAGGACUCUCCAAGAGGCUGCUAGAACUAUGUUGAAUGAAUGUAGGUUGCCUAAAUAUCUUUGGGCGGAAGCGGUAAACACUGCAUGUUAUGUGAUGAAUAGAAUACUCUUGAGACCUAUUUUAAAGAAAACUCCUUAUGAGCUGAUUUUUGAUAAGAAACCUACGGUUGGUUAUUUCAAAGUAUUUGGUUGUAAAUGUUUUAUUUUGAAUCUAAAGGAACAUCUUGGUAAAUUUGACAAAAAAUCUGAUGAAGGAAUAUUUUUGGGGUAUUGUGAGAAUAAAAGAGGAUAUAGAGUUUUUAAUAGAAGGACACUUGUGAUUGAAGAAGCUAUACAUAUAACAUUUGAUGAAGCCAAUGAUGAUAAUUCCAAAAGUUUGUGUGAGGAUGAUGAUGUAGGUGUUCGAGAAGCAAUGGAAAAGCUAUCAAUUGGAAAUGAAGGAAGUUCUGAACCAGCAGCAACUGAAAUGGAAAAUGAAGUUCAUAAUGAUCAAGAAGAGGAAGAUGAAGACAAAAAUGAUGAUCCACUCAAAGAUCUUCCCAAGGCUUGAAAAUUCAACCAAAAUCAUCCAAAAGAGCUUAUAAUUGGUGAUCCAUCCGAGAAGGUAAACACUCGUUCCUCAUCUAGAAAAUUGAUUGAUAAUUUUGCUUUAGUUUCUCUUUUUGAACCCAAAAAUAUCAAUGAUGCUUUAAAGGAUGAAAAUUGGAUUUUGGCUAUGCAAGAGGAACUUAAUCAAUUUGAGAGAAAUGAAGUUUGGACACUUGUUGAUAGACCUCAAAAUCAACCUAUCAUUGGCACAAAGUGGAUUUUUAGAAAUAAGUUGGAUGAUAAAGGUGUUGUUGUAAGAAAUAAAGCCAGAUUAGUUGCUAAAGGAUAUGCACAAGAAGAAGGAAUAGAUUUUGAUGAAACAUUUGCUCCCGUACCAAGAUUAGAAUCUAUUAGAAUGCUUCUUGCUUUUGCUUGCUUCAAAGGUUUCAAAUUGUUUCAAAUGGAUGUUAAAAGUGCCUUUUUAAAUGGUUUUAUUGAUCAAGAAGUGUAUGUGGAUCAACCCCCAGGUUUUGAAAAUACAAAAUUUCCAAGUCAUGUGUUUAAACUUUCUAAAGCUUUCUAUGGUUUAAAACAGGCUCCAAGAGCUUGGUAUGAAAGAUUAAGUGGGUUCUUGAUUGAAAAAGGUUUCAAAAGAGGUAUUGUGGACACCACACUUUUUACUAAGCAUGUGUUGAAUGACCUUUUCAUUGUGCAAAUAUAUGUUGAUGAUAUUAUCUUUGGUGCUACUAAUGAGUAUCUAUGUAAGGAGUUUUCCACCACUAUGCAAAAUGAAUUUGAAAUGAGUAUGAUGGGAGAAUUAAAUUUCUUCCUUGGACUUCAAAUACAUCAAACUCUUGAGGGAAUCUUUAUCAAUCAAGCAAAGUAUACCAAGGAAUUACUGAAAAGGUUUGGCAUGGAGGACUCAAAACAAGUUGGAACUCCAAUGUGCACUUCCACAAAGCUUGACAAAGAUGAAGAAGGUAAUCAUGUGGAUGAAAAGCAUUAUAGAGGUAUGAUCGGAAGCUUACUCUAUUUAACUGCAAGUAGACCUGAUAUUAUGUUUGCAGUUUGCUUGUGUGCUAGAUUUCAAUCGUGUCCAAAAGAAUCACAUUUGAAUGCUGUAAAAAGAAUUUUUAGGUAUUUGAAAGGUACAUUAGGCUAUGGUCUUUGGUAUGCUAAAUCCAGUGAGUUUGCACUAUAUGGUUAUUCGGAUGCUGAUUUUGGAGGGUGUCGUGUAGAUAGAAAGAGUACUAGUGGAUCUUGUCACUUUCUUGGAAAUUCUUUAGUCUCUUGGUUUAGCAAGAAACAAAAUGCAAUCUCAUUGUCUACAACCGAAGCAGAAUAUAUUGCCGCUAGUGCAUGUUGUGCUCAAUUUUUAUGGAUGAAGCAUACCCUGAAUGACUAUGGAUUGUUGUAUGACUGCAUGCCUGUAUUCUGUGAUAAUACGAGUGCUAUAAAUUUGACCAAAAAUCCUAUUCAGCAUUCUAGGACAAAGCAUAUUGAAAUAAAGCACCACUUUAUUCGUGAUCUUGUUCAAAAAGGUGAAAUUUGUGUAAAUUAUGUUUGUUCUAAAGAUCAAUUUGCUGAUAUUUUUACAAAAGCUUUGCCAUUAGAUCAAUUCAUUCAUCUAAGAUCAAAAUUAGGAAUGUUCGAAAAAUCAUCAUAAAUUUUUCAUUGCCUUCGGACGUCCGAAAGAGGAUGAAUGGACGUCCGAUGAUGUUCUUCAGCCAUUUUCCAGAUUGCACCUGUUCGGACGCAGCUGUCGGACGCACAACUUCGUUCGGCAGUCCGACAGUGCAACGGCUCAUUUUUUAAAAUAACUUUCUUCCUUAUUUGCUUCAGUCUCUUCCUAUUCUAUCUCUUCUCGGACGAAAACCCUCUCUUCUCUCACUCUCAAAUUCGUACCAUUCUGUAGCUACCAUUCCCAAAUUGACUCAACCAAAACAUUUCCCCAUCGUUUGCGUUUCAUUUCUCCUGAUCAUUUCACCAAACUGAGUAACACUUCGCAAAUCCCCAAAUUUUCCUCACAAUCCUACUCUUGCAUAACCGCUCUGUCAAAUCUCGUUCAAGGUGUUUUUGUCCCAAAAUUUCUGUGCGAUUCACUUCCCUACUGUUGUGUGCAUCAUUUGCAUCCUCCAUUCCACACAUUUAGAACAAUGGUGAAUCUAAGGGGAGGAAAAGUUACUGCCGGACGCAAGCAUCCACUCAGGGAUGAGGAUGAAAAUCUUCCUACUGUCAAACGGACAUCCAAACGCUUCAAAAGGGGAGCUAUCAAGGGUCAAAUGUCACGACCUACUCCACAACCCACUUCUCAACCAGAAUCUGGACAGGGGACCUCUUCUCAACCGCCUCCUAAAUCAGUCCCUCUCCCUCCAUUCUUUGAUGAUGCUGCGAAAGACAAAUACGCCUGGAUAUCUCAGAAGGGUGUCAUCCCUCAAAGAACUGUAAACCCCUCUGAAUUUCGUUCCAUAGGUUUAGAAUCCAUUCUAAGUCUAUUUGAUUUCCAGAAAUGGUCGCAUCUCAUUUCCAUGCCCAAUGUCUACUAUCCUGAUAUGCUGCAUCAAUUUUUUGCUAACCUUAGGAAAGGAACUGACCAAACUGAGAUCAUGUCUAGGGUAAAUGGGGUAGACCUAAUCUUUGAUUCUGAUACUGUGAAUUCCAUUUUAAAGACUACCAUUGAACGUUUGUGCAAAGAUAAGGUUGCUAAUUUCUUUUCUUAUGAAGAGCUUCCUACUGCUGCAAAUCAUUUUGAUGGGACAAAAAUGUUAACUUAUUUCAAAAGAAGUUUUUCUUCACCUGCUGAUGCUAAGUUGAAUGAUUUGGCUCCUGUGAAUUUGAUUGCCUUUUCUAUCAUUUCAAACUUGCUUGUGCCCACUGAUGGCCAUAGAACUGAUGCAAACAAAAUGGAGCUGUAUCUUUUUUACUGUUUUCGAGAAAAAAUUCGGAUUGAUUUUGGCUUUGUCAUGUGCAAGUUUUUACUUCGCUAUGCUACUGACUCUCGAAGAAAACUAUCCUAUGGGAAGUUUCUUCAAAAGAUUUUUGAAUUUUACAAAGUUCCAAUUCUAGGUGUUUGUCCCAAAGAAGCAUCUUCUUAUGCUUUUACCAGAGCAUAUUUUGAAAGGAAAAAUCUUAUUUUUAAAGAUAAUCUGUGGGCAUAUAAGGGGGCAUCAUCUAGUGAACAAAGAUCUAAGACUGUACAUGAUUCUUCACCCAUUUCACUCACUCCCAUUCACCCUAGGAAGUCUACCACUAAAGCAUCUUCCUCUUCCAGUAAUGAGGUAAUUGAGCUUCUUCAUGAACAAAAACAGCAUGUUCUUCUUCUAGAACAUGGCCUAAUGCUCACCAUGUCUUCUGAGCAACAAGCUGCCUUUCUUGAUAAAAAGAACCUUCUUUUUCCUCCACCUGUGGUUGAGGAAGUCUCACAUGACAAAGAACCUCGAACCACUGAUCCAGGUUCAUCAGUUCCAGAUCCGAAUCCAUCAACUCCUGUGACUCCUCAUGGCCCUUCCACAUCAGACAAAGGCAAGGCACCAAUUGAAGAAGCUACUGAAGAUGAUGAAGAAACUGAUGAGGAAGACCUCUCUCAAUAUCAGCUCUCUCGGAGGACUCCUGGAUCCACUUAGUUCAUCAUUUAGGACAUUUGCAUUCUGUUUGUCUCUUUUAUGUGUUUGUGGUAUUCAACAAUGAAUAUGUAUUGUAAUGGAUAUUUUAAGUUUCUUUUGGUAUGAUCUGGUGGAUGUUUAAGUACUGUUUUGAUGAAUGUCUAAAUAUUUUGAUGAAUGAUUGUCUAUUCUGCUUGUGUGAAUGUAAUGAAUUUGUGGAUUGUAUGAUUGUCUAUUGAAUAUGAUUGUCUAUUUUAAGUACUGUUUUGAUGGAUGUGUUGGAUGGUGUCACCAGGAUGUUGAUUUGUGAACUUGUGUAAAUUUGUGACUGUGUGGAUGACAAAAAGGGAUGUUGAUGUUGAUGUGAUUGGUUGCCCUUUUGUGAUGACAAAAAGGGGGAGAUGGUAUAAUGAUUGGAUUGAGUGAUGAUUGGUGAUUGAUGAAUGAUUGGAUUGAGUGAUGAUUGGUGAUUGAUGAUUAGUGAUGUUAGGAUAUGUUGGAUUGAUUGUUUAAAUUUGGAUUGGCUGAUAUGCUUAAUUGUUUAAUGUUUAAUUGUUUAACUCGGAUGGGCAGCCAAGUGAGGGGGAGGUUUUUCAAAAUUUUUAAAUUUUAGGAUUCACUAAGACAGGGGGAGUUUUCAUUUCAAUCAUCAAUUUCAUUUCAAACUUUUGUUUUGUCAUCAUCAAAAAGGGGGAGAAUGUUAUUCUUGGUUUUGAUGAUCACAAAAGUUUGUUUAUACAGACCAAGAAAGUGAACACUUUGAUCAGGUCUGUUGGAACAAAGAAAGCGUAUGUUCGUUUAUCUCCUGACUACGUUGCUUUGGAUGUGGCAAACAAGAUUGGAAUAAUAUGAAUGAAUUUAGUCAUUGUUUUGUUUUCGAUCAAAGAUAUUGUCUUUUAAGUAUGUCUAGUUUGUCAUUCUUGGUACUUUGAAAUAUUUGUCUAACCUUCCUCAAAUACAAGUGUUUUUUUGUCUAUCCAAGAAUCAGAUUCAAAUAUGUCAUGAAAUGUAAAACAACCAAAAUGAGAAGCAAAAACAGGACAAUCAGGUCGGACGGCCGAAAGGAAACUGUCGGACGUCCGAAAAGAUAAAGAACAUCAGGAAGGAAGCACCGUCGGACGCUCACAUGGAAGCAUCGGACGUCCGGAAGGAUCGGACGCUUGCCAUCGGACGUUAAUCAACCGCAUCGGACGUCCGAAAAAUUCCAAGAUAACUUGCUAGCUCUCGGCCCAAGGUCGGACGCUGUGCUGUCGGACGACAAAGAACUUAUCGGACGUCCGAACCUCAACUUGGCUAUCAUCGGACGAUUGGUUCGGACGAUGAUUCGAUCGUCGGACGUCCGACAGCCCCAACGGCUAGUUGACUCUUCAGCUGCCUUCUAUCCGUUGGAAGCAUUGAUGAAACCCAUUUCUGGAUCCCUUUAAAAUCAAACUGGUCUGAACGAAGUAGGGACUUUUGCUCACUUUGUUUACAAGUUCUCAAGGGAUAUUUUAGCUAGAAAAUAGUCUCCAAAGCAGAUUUGUAUUAAAGUGGUGUGAAUUUCUGUUGAGCAUUUCUUUUGUGGUUGAAAGGAUCUUUAGUGUAGCUUUGUUGAGGGUUUUCUGAGUGAUUGUAAAACUUCCUAGCUUGACUAAGUGAGGCUUAGGGCAAGGAGGAAGAGCUCCCUCCAUUGUACAUCUAGUUGAUCUUCGUUCAUCAAAGAGAAGUUGCUCUUCCUAGUGUUUAGUCUUCAAGUUUGGGUAAAGCUUGGUAGACACUUGGUUUGUUUCUCUAUUUUAUAUUUCUGUUUAAUAAAAUCUUCAUUGCUUAUCUAUACUUGCUUCUCUGAUUAAUAUUGCUAUUGUCUUCUAAUCUACUUGGUUGAUCAUUACUAAAAAGGAAGGUAAAUUUUCAUUAAAGAAAAAGUGCAUAAACUUGGUUAAGUUUUUAAUCAACCAAUUCACCCCCCCUCUUGGUUGUCUGUGGGACUUACAUAAAGCAUAGUAAAAUUUUAAACUAACACCUAGAAAAUAGCAAUCAUUUUGGAAACAAAUCCUGAGAUUUAUUAUAAUAUCACUUAACUUCUCUGAAGUUUUUAAAAUCUUACUUUCUUCCCCUGCCAACUUGGGAAGAUCAAGUGUUUCUAUCAAAGGUCACAAAUUUACAACAAUUACUGUUGCACUCUUUAUGACUAUUUAAUUGAAAAACCAAAACAAGAAGAGAAUUUUUAAAAGACCAAAAACUAAAGAUGAGAAAGAUAACCAAAUUGCUAUCCAAUAUUGGUCUAUAUUUCUUUGUAUCAACGUGGUGGUGGAAUAGUAAAAGACAUGGAUAAAUUAAAUUCUAGUUAAAGACAUGGGUAAUUUUUGUAGAAAAGUUUUGAGGAAAUCAAGAAAUUCUUUUAGAAAAUAUGUUCUAAUAUAGGAUAUAAUUUAAGUUAUACUAAAAAUUAAAAUAACCUCUUCAUACAUGUGGUUUGUAAUAUAAAUCCUACUUAUAGAAAAAAAAUUAUAUAAAUAAGUCAGAAUUUAAAAAAUUAGUCAAAAAUGUUCUAAUGACCAAAUAUAUAUCUAGGAAUAUUCUUUUUUUUUUGUUAGAACAUGAUUUGUUAUACAAGGUAAUAGUUAUUGUACAUCUACAAGAUUAUUCGUUAUUGCAUUUAUAGUUGCUCAUAUUUUCAACUUUUUACUUGUUAAAUUUAUUUUAUUUUUUAUUGUUGUUGUACGCUUAAUAAGUAGGAUAGCAUAAGAGUAGUAUUAGAACAAAAAUUUUAUCUUUCUUGCAUUUCCUUCAAAGGGACUAAAAUGUUAUGAAAAAUAUGAAUCCAAGAGAGGUAUGUGAGAUUUUAAAAAUUGAAAGAGUUCUAAGUGAUAUUUUGAGAAAUGUCAUGCGAGGUUUCCGAAAUCAUUUCCGACUUAUUAGUAUUGGACCAUUGGUAGGCUGUGUCGGACGAAGCAAAUCACAUGUCAAAUUUCAUUUGAUUUACGGCUGGAAGGCUAAGGAAGCUGUAGGUCCUGAAGCAAAAUUAGAUGGUUGCCAUAAAACAACAAAUCUUUUUAAAGGUUUUUUUUAACUAAAUAAAAUAUUCCCUCUCAAAUUAGUUUUCUUUUUCCAAAUUUCAGUUAUGUGAGUAAAUGAAAGCUUUUACAACCAUUAGUUCUUUUAAAAUAUUUUAAAGCGUAACUGCAUGUACACAUUCUAUAUUCAUUUGCCUCUUCUUCAGUUUUUAUACUCCAUCUAGGAUGUCUAAUCAUAAUUCCGUAAAAAAUUAAAAAACUAUAUAUAUUUUUCUUUAUAAUUAGUCAAUUAUAAAUUAGUAAAGUUCUAAUCAAUUUCAUCCAUUAUCUAACUUGCAAGAAAGGAAUAGAUAUCUCCUAAAUACAAAGUUCAAAAGGAAUUUCUAGUCUUUUAUAAUCACGUUCACAUGAUGUUUCGGUGGAUAUCCAUUUGUCCAUUUUCCGUUACAGAAACUUUACUUAUUACAAUCUUUUCUUUACACUCCUCUAAAAUAGUAUGAAGUAUUACCAUAAUUCUUAACAUAAUUAAAAUAGUAUUAAUUAUUCUUAAUAACUUUCAAAGUAUGUUUUAUGUUUAGUGUCUUACAUUCAUUAAAUUUAUUGUUUUAGUUCAUUAAAAUUCGAAGAUAAAAAGAAGUUAAUGCAAAUGCACGGCUGAAUAACUGGUGGUCUAAUUCUAUUGCUUGCUUAUCCACAAGAAUGACCACACCAACACUACAUUAAUACACUCAUAUUUCUUAAUUACUUGCAUUACUUAUUCUUUCUUCCCAACAAUUCUACAGCCCAUCAUCAUCAUUCCAAUUUUAAUUCAAUAAUCUUCAUACAACUCUGAACAUAUAACUACAUUUAAUAUAAAUUCGUGUCAUUCCUGCAUUUCAAUUCUCAAAAUCUUAUGGCAUGCCUUACUUUAUAAUGGUGUUUAAUUACUUAAGUUCAUAAACAAUCAUUAGUAUCAAAAUCAUAAACUUGUAUCGCACAAUAGGAUGCUCUUCGCAUCAUUAUCAGAAGUAAUUUCAAUUUCUUCGCAUAGUUUGUUUGCCCCAUCACUUAAGCACGGCAAGAAUUUUUUUUUAAAAAAUUUUAAAUAGCUGCAACAAGUUAUUAACAAAAGAUAUUAUGCUAGCUCUAAUACUAUGACGCUAUUCCCGUUCCUCUAGAGGAUUUUUCAGUCAACAAACUCCUUCAACUCCCUUCCUCAAGUUCUUUCUAGGGUUCUUUCUAUUUGUUUCUGUAAUGCAUUUUUUUGACAAAUUUUCAAUCCUAGUAUUUUCUCAGUAGAAGUAUCUUUCUUGCUUAGUGAGAGUUUUUGUUUUUUGUUUUUUUAGUUUUUAUUAGAUUUAAGUUUAUUCAAGUCUAAACUUUCUCGUAGGGCUUGAAAAUCUGUCCGGGGAAGGCUUACAAAUCAUUUACAACUACAGAGAUUUAUAUGCAUUUAAUUGUAAGAAAAUUGGGAGCUUUCUAGUAUUUUUUUUGUUAUUGGUUUCUCUGAUUUGAAGGAAGUCACUUCUAUUUGCAUUUCCAUUGCGUCUUUUUCAUAUAUUUGCUGCUAUUUGUACAACUUUUCUGUGAUUAAAUAAAAUUCCCUUCCUCGUUAAAAUAAAUGAAAGAAAAUAUGAAGGAGAAAUUAAAUUGAUCUAAUUGACAAUAUGUCUUUAUAACUAGAUGCCUUCUCAGAUAUUCUCAAAAACUUCCAUACUCUAACUAUCAUUAUUUUACCACAAUAGUACUUCUUUAACAAUUACUAGCAUUUCUAUGUUAUCAUUUGAACUGCUUCCUUUCCAUCUUUGGUACACUUAAAUUUGCAAUUAUCUCAUGAAAUUCUUAAAUUCAGUAACUUUCAACUACAUGUUAUGAUGAGAGAUAUUUGUUUGACAUGAUAUAAACCUAAUAAGAAAAGAAUUCAAUUUGAUAACACACGUAAGACAAUAUAUAUAGGUCCAUGUACAUAAACCAAAGAACAAAAUUAUAUCAAUUCAGUAAGCACAUUUAAUAAUAUUCCCUGGAGCCUUAAAGCAUAAGUUAAACAUUUUAUCUGGAAAUGUCUCCUAAGAAUCUUAUACGUGAUGAAGUAAUUAGGCAGAGAACUGGGAAACGGAAAGACUCGAGCAUAUGCGUUUUUUUUUUUUUUUUUUUUUUUGUGAAAUUGCAUAACAAAUAUGGUAAGUAGCACCAAUCCAGUGGGAUGGCCUAUUAUAAGUGCAUAUUUUGCAUGUUUUAAGUGUGUUUUAUUAUUUAGUUUUGGUGUGUUUUAACUACAUUUAUAGCUACUUAACUAAAUUUCUAGUGAAAAUAUGCUUAUGGUUAAAAUUUUAAAAAUUGCAUUUCUAUGGAUUUUAAUAGCGAUAACUUUAUUUUUUUUAUAGGUUUAAUAGUUCAAUCAUCAAUUGGAGUGAAUUGAAAAUAUACUUGGAUGAUUAUUGAUGAUUUCAAGUUGUUUAAAGAAGACAUGAAGUGCAAAAAUGAAAUGCAAACAAGAACAAAAGAAAGAAAGUUUUACAACUUUGACACCUUGUGAUAUUUCGGCUAUAUCUUGCACUACAAACAUCAGAUUGAGAUCAUUAUUAAGCAUUUGAAGCUAAGAGAUAUAUCUAUAUUUGUUAUGAAGACAUCAAAGUGCAAUUCAAUUUUUUUCUUUUUCAAAAAGUCGAAAUAUAGAAGUGCAAUUCUAUUGUCAAAUCUGUAGCAGAGUCUUGACCAGGUGAUGAAAUUUUGGUCAUUUCUCAAUCCACAGAGCUUCAAAUUGGAUGAUUCCUAAUGCAUUGAAAAGCUAACUCAAAAAGUUACAAUUUUUAUGUUUUGCACAAGAACUAGUUCAGCCUCCAUCAUCAAGAAAAAAUCAGUGAAAGUUAGGAAAAGCAGAGAAAGUAAAUUCGAGUUCGGAUAUAAACUAAACCCGACCUCGGAUAAACUUCUGUAAUCGGAGGCUACAUCUAAGAGGAAGAUCCGAGCUUGGAUCCCCAUGUUAUAGGCCUCAGAUCCUAAUGUGUAGUGAAGAUAAAAAUGGAGAAAACUGAAAUCCAAGGAGUAUUUAGAGCAAUCGAACCUCGGAUCCCCAAUUGCGAAUCUGCAACUUGUGCUCCAUUCACACAACCUUUUUUAUCACUUUUUCUACAAAGAUUCUGGCUGGAAAUGAGCAUAUGAGCAUGGAAGUUUUGAGAAGAAACCUUUGAGAUUUUCAAGAGUCGAAAUGCUAACUAGAAACAACUCAUCUUGAGCUUUAAUCUUUCUAUAAAUAGAGGCCUUGGAAAAUAUUUUUACAACUUUGGAAGGCUAGAAAAACUCACCAACAAUGUAGUCUUUACUAGAAUUUCCUUAGUUUCUUAGUUAGAGUAGAUUAGUAUAGUUAGGCUAGUUUAUCCACUCUUAUAUAAUGGUAAGAUUAGGAUGAAGAUGGAGAUGAAAAAGGAGAGGAUAAAACUCAUGUGACAAGGGCUAUCUCUUCUCCAUUAUCUUUUACAUUGGAUUCUUAAAUAUGGUUAAUAUGCAAGUUUUGGAAUUUGUUUUCAUGUUUUGCUAAAGUUUAUACCUAGAGUUAUGAAUGAACUUUUUAUAUCUUACUAGUGAUGUUUAUUUGGUUAUUUGAUGAUGUUAUUUUGAACAAGUUAUUUAUCACUUUUGCUUAUCUAAUCAUGAUUAGAUAAGCAAUUAAUUAUGAUAAUCUUAAAGUGUUAAAUUUGUAAUGAAAAUUGAAAUUUAGCACUAGUUCAAGAAAGUGAUAAACCUAUGGAAUACACUCACGAAAGUAGAGGUGCAACUUUGUAACUUUAGUGACUUGUUUCAUGUAAUUUCAUAGAAGAAAUGAGUUUGUAGUUAGUUUCAUAACUACGAAAAUAGGUAUGAAUUAACUAUUGGUAUAGUUGGUAUAUCGGUGAAAGCACGUAUCACGUAUAUUAGGAAAUUAUGUCAUAACUAGUCAAGAUAAUAGUAACUUAACCGAUAAUUUCAUUUGUAAAAGUAGUAAGGAAUUCCAUACCUCUAGGAGCUUUAUAUUGUCAUUUUUAUUACUUUUAUCUCAUGUUUGUAGUGAAAUUUUAAUUUCUUGCGCUUAUGAUAGUAUAAAUAAUAAAGGAGUUCAAAAAUCAUCGGUAAUUGACAAUCUUUCCUAUGGGAUCGAUACCUAAUACCCCUAUACUCAAUAAACGACUUGUAUACUUGCGAAAAAUCGUGUGUGGAGUAUUUAAAAUUAUAUAAAUGUAGAACUUGAAUGUGGAUAAACCAAUUAUUAUAUAUAUAUAUCCGGCGUUCAUUAGCUCUCUGCCAUUGAUGAGGGGAAUUGAUAGAAGAUGCUAAGAGGUAAGACGGCAGAAAACGCAUUGCUUUGAACUGUAAACUUGUGCAGAUUUGCGUGGCCAUGACACUACUUGGACGGUCGGACCAUUCAGUACUGACAGACCGUGCUGUAAGAAAGAGUGACAUCCACAGUCAACUCAAGGGCGGAGCCAUGUUAGAGAUCAAUAAUCAGAGGCUUGCAAAAUUUCGUAAUUUUUCAAUUUAGCUCACAUUUGCACUGACAAAUUUUGUAAAAAUUUCCUUUUGCUCUCGCAUUGCCCCUUAAAACAGCUAACGUAUUGGAAACGUAGAAUGGACCAGCUAAAUAACCAAGAUGCCACUGAUCACAAUAAUUUGCAUAGUGAGUUAUUGAGUGACUUCCCCGCCUUUGCUCAUUAUAAAUGCCGGCCCCCUCCACAUUCCAAACAUACUCAACCAGCUUCUGUGCUAUAUUUUGCUAUCUUCUGCCACCACCACUGCUCCCACAAAAUGGAAAGCUUUUCUCCCACUUGGGCUGCGUAUGCACUCGAAUCAUACGAACAUAUUUGGGUGGAAGAAAUGAAUUCACUUCUGCAGCAGCUAUUCAAAUCAUUGGGCAAGCCUGUCGUGUUGAAAGAUUAUCUUUCAAUAGGGAGUUUCAAGGUGAUUAGUAGGAUGAUCUUGGGGGAAAACAUACAUUGAUGAGUCUUAGAACUCAAUUGUCAUGCACGAAGAGUUCAGGCAAAUGAUGGACGAGCUAUUUUUGCUGACUGGUAUGUCUAACAUUGGUGAUUCCUUACCUUGGAUCGAUUCCUUGGAUUUGCAGGGGUAUAUCAAAAGGAUGAAAAUCAUGAGCAAGAAAUUUGAUAGGCUUCUGGAACAUGUUCUCGAUGAGCAUAAUGCCCAGAGGGAGGAUGAAGUUGAUUGUGUCAACAAGGACAUGGUGGACGUCCUUUUGGACCUUGCAGAUGAUCCCACUUUUGGAGGUAAAGCUAGAGAGGCAUGGAGUCAAGGCAUUGACUCUGGUAUAUGUUACUUACAAACUGCAUAAUGUGUGCUGUCAAGUUUUAAACGCCUAAAAACUUAGAAAGUAGUCAAUGAUCUUUUGAACUUGAAUACUCCCCAAAAUUUUCUUUGCUACAAAAAACUUGAGAGAAAAUAGUCAGAAUCUUUUGAGUUUGAUGAAAAUUUUUCAAUGGAGUCAGAAUUAACAAGAAAAUUUCUUUUUAAUCCUUCAAAAAGAAAUUGCUUUUGCUAAACGUACUCAAAUAAGUUAGUGACGAGUGCAGGGUAUACAUAUGAUAGGGUGUUAAUUGUUAGUAAUUUUAUUGUUAAUUUUCCCUUUUAUCUUUGUCAAAUAUUGUUUUAAUUAUUAAUAUUUACUUAUAUUUGGUAUUGGAGCCAAUUUCAGGGAAUGAAGCAGAAAACUACAAAAAAGAAGGGACUUUCUGAAGAUAAUUGAGACUUCAAAUAAGCCACAGACCUGGCCCACAUGGUGAUAUACGCGGACUGCAUUUCUUUUUUGCGGAUUAGGAGUAUCUUGGAGUGUUGAAGUGUUUGACUAUCAAGAGGAAACUAAAGAAAGAAGGACUUCAGAGAACUUCACUUUAUGUACACUCCUUUCUCAAUUUGUGCGAGGACCACGGAAAGAAGAAAGGCAUUAGUCAUUUGAAUUGAAAGGAAACAAACGUGCAAAGAGUUGUCUUUGUUCCUUAUUCGUGGGGACCACUGGAUAGAUAGCUUGAGUCAUUUCCUUUUGGCUAUAUAAGGACAAUAGUAAGAAAGACUAUGGAGAGUUUUUUUAAUAUAGUUUAGUUUUAUUCUUUCUUGGUUCCUUUGAUGGCCUGGACCUCAGUUAAAUUACUUGGAGAUUUUCUCAUGAUACGUGGCUAAGUUUUCCUAGUCGAAGGUCAAUUUGAGGACUCGGUUUCGAACAUCUGUGAGAUCUAAUUAUUUUAUUUACUUCUUUUAUUUAUUGGUAUUUGUGCGUUUUCUGAUUUAAUUGCUUAUGCUUGUUAUGUUAUUUGAAUGUCAAGGGCCCGAUAUUCGAAUUAACCUAAUGAUCUAAUGCCAAAUUAAUUGAUUGAAUCCGUAAUUGUUCAAUUGAUUAAUACCAGUGGCGACUAGCGUGAUUGGUUUCAUGUUAGGGAAACGUAUGAUCUAACUUAAACAAACCCUCGUAGCGUGUUUGUUGGUUAGGAUUGGGCUUUUCUAAUUAUUAAUGCAAUCGAGUAAUUCAAUCCUAUUGUCGUACCUAGGGUUAUUUCUUGGUUAGAGAAAUAGUUAACGGUCGUACCUUAACUAUCGAGAAAUUAAGGAAAGACUGGUUGUUCAUCGCGUGUAUGGCAACUAUAACCAAUUUAUUAAUAAGUAAUUGAAUUAUCUUUGCGUCGAUGAUCAGUUGCAUGGACCGUAUCUGAAAAGUUGCACCUUUGGCUAGAGUCAUAUUGGUUAUUGAUUAAUUUCUAUUAGUUGUUUUAUUGGUUAGUUAAUUAGUUAUUUUAUAUUCUCCAAAAAAACCCCACAUACUUUGGACUUUAAAAUAAACGAAUUAUCCCCAGUCCCUGUGGAUUCGACCCUACUUAUCACUAUCUACAGAAAUUAUAUUUUAUUUAAGUAGGUAUUUAUUAUUGCACAGGUUUGACACCCUGUCAAUUUUUGGCACCGUUGCCGGGGACUGGUGUCAGAUUAAUUUGUUUCUUUUUGAAUUCAUCUUGUUUUCAUUUUUUUUUAUUUUUCUCUUAUUUUUUUAUAUAUAGUUUAUGACUUCUAACACUCCGUAUUUUGGUGAUAGACUGGAUUUUGUUUCCAGGGAAGACAAUGAGGCUUGUUUUUUUUUUUUCUAAAUUUGCAUAUUCAGAGGCACUAAACUCUCUUAUUGAAAGAAUGGCUGAUGCAACCUGUGGAAUUUGUUAUGUCAGGGAUCAUUCAACCGGUAUGUGCCCCGAAUAUCAAGACUACCUGAGUGAUUAUCUCACAAAAAAAUUUGGAGAUUCUUCACCUCGAUCUCAAACGUGGUAUGACUCUUAUUCAAACGGGUAUGAUCAAGGAUGGUGGGAUAACUCCAGUUAUAAUUAUACAACAGGGUCAAUGAAUUUUCAGCAGUAUGAGUCUCAAGAAUCAUCAUCUAUGUCAGGUAUGUCUUUUGAAGAAAUAGUUGAAUCAAUAGCUACUAAUACAUAUCAAUUCCAACAGGAGACACAAAUGAGAAAUGGGAUGAUGAAGGAUGCAAUGAGUAAUCUGGCAGAUCAAAUAUGUCUAUUGACAUCUAGAAUAAAUCGAUUGGCUUCUCAAAUUGAAAAAUUGCCCUCGAAAAUCAUUGUUGAUUUUGAAGAAAAUGAGAGUUCAAUUUGCUUGACUAGUGAUGAGGAGAUGCAAGAGUGUCAAAAUGAGAGAUCUACAGAUGCAGUUUAAAAAGAAGUCGAAAAGGAAGAAAUGGAACCCCAACCGCAACCCAUUCAAGUGAAAGAAUCCAGUGAAGAAUCAUCAAAUGUGGUGACACCACCUCCAUUCCCUAACCCGCAUUUUCUUAACUCUUACUCUAUGAUUUCUGUUAAUGAGAUUGAUUUUGCUAUACCGAAAGUUUUUGAGUCUCAUGGCAGAAAUAAGUUAAGAGUAGCUAUGGUCAAAUAUCUUGAACCGUUGAGUGCUCUUGAUGAAGGAGUGGAUGAAGAAUUGAGAUCACUGCUUGAUUAUUUGGCGCCAUCAACUAGUCCAUGGAAGACCGUAGCUCGUGUGCUCAAGGAUUACUCUAUUUACGAGGGCUAUCAGGACUAUAUAGAGGAUGAAGCAUUGAAACGAGUCACAAGAUUUUGUCCUCCCUAAGCAAACAUGAUAAUAUCUAGCCAAAAACGUUAAAGAAAGGCGCUUUUUGGGAGGCAACCCAAAUAUUGAUUUUAUUGUUUUUCGUUGUUAAAUUCUUUAAUUAUGCCGUUUCUUAUUUAGGUUGUGGUCGGUUUUAAUGUUUUCCUCCACUGUGAUCAGGACAGCAAUCUUGGCGUGCCCACGCGGUGUUUAUAACUCCUGAAGUCAGUGGACAUUUACCAAUCUUGGCGUGCCCACGUCAUGUUUGACGACCCAAAAGCUAAGAAAAAAAAAUUUAUUAUUUAUUUAUUUAUUAUUAUUAUUAUUUCUAAAAAAACAAAAAGGAUUAAAGUAUUUUAGCAAUUACAAUUUUCGAAAUUUGAAUUCAAAAAGGAAAAAAAAACUGAAAAAAAAGAAGAAAAAAAAAACAAAAAUCCACAAAAACUAUUUUUUCUUUUCUUUUUCUCCUUUCUUUCUCUUUUCUUCUUUUCUUCUUUCUUCUUUCUUUCUUUUUUUUCCUUUUCUUUCUUUCUUCCUUCUGCCCCCGCUGCUUUCCCUUUUUCCCUUUUUCCUUCGUUUCUUCCUCCAUUGCCGCCGCCGAACCCAGCUUCCUAGCACGACUACCACCUCGCAGCUCUACCGCGCGCCAGCCCGCCGCCAACCGUCGCUGCCCGCUUCUCCCACCCGCUACCAGCUCGCGGCCAAGCUCCUCUACCGCGCCUCCAGGCCGUCGCCCUGCUCCGCGAGCUCCACCGCACACGCCCCUCCCUCUCCAGCUCCACUUCACCCACAGACCACGGCCGCACUCUUCUCACCUAGCGUCCUACCACCAUCGCAAGCUCCACCCCAGCUUACCACCACCACCUCCCUCUGCUCUCUCUCCACUUCACACCAGAUCACGGCCAAUAGCUCCUCCUCGCAGCCCCCAGCUCCUCCACUAUAGCGACUCCGUGCGCUCCGCCGCUGCUCCACUGCUCCACCACCCAUGGCCAUCUGCUUGGUGUCUCUGGCAUGCAACAGAGGUACUUGUUUUUCCCAAUUUAUUGGCUAAUUUUCUAAGGUAAAUCACUUAUAUUUGGGGUACUAUUUCUAGAAUAGAUCUCUAGAGUGAAUUGGACACAGGCUUUGGGGUCUAUGUUGAACUUUGGUUUUCGGGUCCCUGCUAAAUUAUUUUACUGAAUUUUUUAUUCCCUAUGACUGUUGAUUUAAGUUGCUAAAUUAUUCGGGCCUCUGCUGAAUAUUAGUUGGCAGAGUUGUGCAUUUAUUUGUUCAGUCCAGCAACUAUAAUACUUAGUGCAUUGAUUGCUGAUUCAUGGUCGUAGUUACUAUCCCAAUUCAUUCAUUUGGGACUUCUUUUAGCCCUUGAGAUUGAUAUUUUCUGGACUCUCUGAUAGCUAUUUUAUUUGGAAGUUAUCGGGGGUUGACUUUGGGGUUUUGCUGCUUUUGUUGGGCGUUUGUUGUGAUUUUGGGUUGGGCAUUUAGUUGCUGUUUCUGUACACCAUCGGUUGCGAUUUCUAAGAGGUUCUUGUGGCUGAUUUAAUUUUGCUCUGAUUCCAUUUUUGUUGUGCACCAUUGACUAUUGGGCUUUUGUGCUUAAAGUGUUGCUCCUGCUAGAUCUCCGAACUGUUGCUGGAGUUACCAUUUUCUUGGAUCAAAUACUGAUUUUGGCAGGUUGAAUUGGGGAAUUGACUGUCCAAUUGGAGGCAGCUGUUACCAUUUUGGGACCAAUUGUGUCUAUUUUGCUGUGAUUUGUGUCUAAUUGUGGGUAAUUUGCUUGUUAAAUUGGGAGGUGCCUAUAACGCUUAAAUUUGCUUAUUGAAGUUAGUUGCCUCUGAUUGCCUUGUUUAGGAGCAUUUUAUCCUUUUGGUUUCCUUUACUAAGCUAUUUGGAGCACUUGUUGCAUGAUUGGACUGCCUUGAUUCUGAAUUUGACUACAUUUGGACCACAGGGGCUCAUUGAUUGCAUUUGUUAUUAGUGUUGAGGUAUUCGUAUAACCUGUGGGUGAUUGAAUUGUGCCUAUUGUUCAUUGGGUUGGUUUUAAACAAAAAAUUGUUAUUACUUUAAAAUUCCUGUUUCCAUUAUUUGUUGGCAAUUGUAGUCCCUUGUGAUUAGAGUGACAUCUAGAGAUCAUGGUAAGGCCAAGAUCCGCUUCUAGGUUAAGGACACCUAGACACUCGCAACCUCCUCCUACCCCAGGGGCUGACGAAUGGCACCAGGUCCAGAUGCGAGUUGAGCGACUAGCGACUCGGAUGACCCACAUUGACGUCAACCUGCAUCACAUGCGCAGAAUUUGGCAGCAUUUAUGCCCCAUGCAGGCCUUGAUCCUCAAUUUCCACCUGAACCGCCCCUGUUUUGAUGAUUUCAAGGAAGUACCGUUGCCCCUCUCUUUUCUUCUGUUUUUACAUUAUCACAUUGAGGGCAAUGUGUGACUUAGGUGUGGGGGGGUCAGUUUGGGUGCUAGUAUUUUUAGUUUUUAGGUUCUAGAGGUUUUUCCUUUGUUUUAGUUUGAUAUUUAUCUCCUUUUUCGUUUAUUUUCUUUUCUUUUCUUUUUCUAGUGGUCAGUCUUCAUAUGAAUACCAAGUUUGAUGCUGGAUUGUUGUCUCUAAUUCUGCUAUUGCCAAGUUUAUUAAUAAAAAGGUAUCAAGUUGAUGUGGUUGAGUUCAGGAACAUCUCUUUGGUGAAUAUCAAUAAUUACUUAACUUUUCCAAUUUUUGGUUAAUUUUUCUAGGCAUAGGGAAUGAUUGUUGGCAUUUUUCAUGUGAAUUGGUCCAAUUAUUAAUUUUUGUUCUCCAUGUCUGGAAAUUUGAGGCUGGCUGCUGUUAUUCUUGUGUUGCUUUUAGAUAUCGUGCUACAUGGUUGCAAAUAAGAGUGACUGUACACCGCUAGUGGUUACUACUGAGUAACCGGGGAUCUUCACUUGAAGUGUUGAUUUUCGUGUCAAAAGGUAGUAGUUGCUAUCAGUGCGUGGUCCCGUAGCAAUUGGAGCUGAGUAACCGGGCUCCUCCUCUAGCAAAUGUUGGAGUUCGCGUCAAAAGACUCUAAGGGCUAUAGACUAAGUCUUUUGUUAUUCAAAAAAAAAAAAAGAACAAAAAAAAAUGAGGAAAAAGAAGUGAAGUAAAGAUUGUGUUAGUAUGUGAAUAAGUCAGCUUGCCGGUUUGUGAUCUUAAUGUCGAGAUUUUGGUUAAUAGCUGGACCAUUUACUGAUAAAUGUGAGCAACCAUUCCUUUUUCUUAGAUUAGUUUGCUUUAAAUUGGAGGAGUUGGUGGUUGGGAAGCUAACCGGAGUGGUCUUUCUUGGAUCUUAACUGUGAUGCGUGAUAUAUGUUUUUCUAGGUAUUUUGGCAAUAUGAUAGUUAGAGCAAUAGCCAUUGUCAAAUUUUGGUGUUCAAGUGCUGUUCUUAUGCUUGAGGGCAAGCACGAUUUAGUGUGGGGGGAAUUGAUAGGGUGUUAAUUGUUAGUAAUUUUAUUGUUAAUUUCCCCUUUUAUCCUUGCCAAAUAUUGUUUUAUUUAUUAAUAUUUACUUAUAUUUGGUAUUGGACCCAAUUUCAGGGAGUGAAGCAGAAAACUACAAAAAGGAGGGACUUUCUGAAGAUAAUUGAGACUUCAAAUAAGCCACAGACCUGGCCCACAUGGUGAUAUACGCGGACUGCAUUUCUUUUUUGCGGAUUAGGAGUAUCUUGGAGUGUUGAAGUGUUUGACUAUCAAGAGGAAACUAAAGAAAGAAGGACUUCAGAGAACUUCACUUUAUGUACACUCCUUUCUCAAUUUCUGCGGGGACCACGGAGAGAAGAAAAGUCAUUUGAAUGGAAAGGAAACAAACGUGCAAAGAGUUGUCUUUGUUCCUUAUUCGUGGGGACCACUGGAUAGAUAGCUUGAGUUAUUUCCUUUUGGCUAUAUAAGGACAAUCGUAAGAAAGGCUACGGAGAGUUUUUUUAAUAUAGUUUAGUUUUAUUCUUUCUUGGUUCCUUUGAUGGCCUGGACCUCAGUUAAAUUACUUGGAGAUUUUCUCAUGAGGCGUGGCUAAGUUUUCCUAGUCGAAGGUCAAUUUGAGGACUCGGUUUCGAACAUCUGUGAGAUCUAAUUAUUUUGUUUAUUUCUUUUAUUUAUUGGUAUUUGUGCGUUUUCUGAUUUAAUUGCUUAUGCUUGUUAUGUUAUUUGAAUGUCAAGGGUCCGAUAUUCAAAUUAACCUAAUGAUCUAAUGCCAAAUUAAUUGAUUGAAUCCGUAAUUGUUCAACUGAUUAAUACCAGUGGCGACUAGCGUGAUUGGUUUCAUGUUAGGGAAACGUAUGAUCUAACUUAAACAAACUCUCGUAGCGUGUUUGUUGGUUAGGAUUGGGCUUUUCUAAUUAUUAAUGCAAUCGAGUAAUUAAAUCCUAUGAUCGUAGUUAGGGUUAUUUCUUGGUUAGAGAAAUAGUUAACGGUCGUACCUUAACUAUCGAGAAAUUAAGGAAAGGCGCGUGUAUGGCAACUAUAACCAAUUUAUUAAUAAGUAAUUGAAUUAUCUUUGCGUCGAUGAUCAGUUGCAUGGACCGUGUCUGAAAUGUUGCACCUUUGCCUAGAGUCAUAUUGGUUAUUGAUUAAUUUCUAUUUAUUUCUAUUAGUUGUUUUAUUGGUUAGUUAAUUAGUUAUUUUAUAUUCUCCAAAAAAUCCCCCAUACUUUGGACUUUAAAAGAAACGAAUUAUCCCCAGUCCCUGAAUUAUCCCCACUAUCUACAGAAAUUAUAUUUUAUUUAAGCAUGUAUUUAUUAUUGCACAGGUUUGACACCCUGUCAACAUAUAACAAUUAGUUCAUUUCACAAUCAAAUUUUAUAUUUAUAACAUUCUAAAUUCCUUAGAAGCGAUUUUUUUGCAAGUGCAUGAGUUGUGAUUGAGUAUAUGAUAUUAAGGGUCGAACCUACAGGGAAGAUUUUCAAAUAUUAUGGAUUUUCGAACUCCUUUAUUAUUUAGAUUAUCAUAAGUGCAAGAAAUUGAAUCUACACUAUAAAUAUGAAGUAAAAGUAUUAAAUAUAACAAUAGGAAACUCCUAAAGGUAUGGAAUUCCUUACUACUCUUGCCAAUAAAAUUACCGGUUAAUUGAAUGUUAUUAUCUUGGUUAGUUAUAGCGUAAUUUCCUAAUGUAUGUAAACCUACUCUCGAAGUGAAUCAAUUAUAUUUAUAGGUAAACCAUACUUACUCUCGUAGUUAUAAAAUUAAGUAUAAGUUCAUUUCUUCCAUGAAAUUAUAUGAAACAAGUCACUAAAGUCACAUAGGUGCACCUCUACUCUCAUGAAUGUACUCCCUAAGUUUAUCAUUUUCUUAAACUAGUAUUAAAUUUCAAUUCUCACUGCAGAUUUAAUACCUUAAUAUUAUCACAAUUAAUGGCCGAUUAAUCGUGAUUAGAUAAGCAAAGUGAUAAAAUAACUUGUUCAAAAUAAUAUCAUCAACUAACAAAAUAAACACCACUAACAAAAUAUAGGAAGUUCAUCGAUAACUCUAGGCAUAAACUUUAACUAAAUAUGGAAACAAACACCAAACUUGUAUUAUAGCUAAAUAUAAAAUCAAAUACAAAAGAGAAAGUGUUAGGAGAGAAGUCACCCUUGUCGCAUGAGAUCCAACUCUCCAUCUUUGCUUUUCAAAUCUUCAUUCAAAUCGAACUACAAACACAAAAAGGAUAAACUACACUAACUAUACUAUACUAAUGAACUAAGAAAAACUAAUGAAAACUAUAUUUUUGUGGAGUUUCUCUAGUCUUCCAAAGUUAUCAGAAUGUUUCUCAAAAGCUGCUAUUUAUAGAGAAUUCAAGCUCAAUAUGAGUUGUUUCUUAAUUGGCAAGUUUGGCUUUUGAAUUUACCAAGAAUUAUUUUCCAAGUUUCCACACUUUUCUUGGUCAGAUACAGCCUUACUGGAAUUGAGUUGGAAAGUUGUGUGAACAAAGAACAAGUUGCAACCGAAAAUGAUGAAUAUACGAUGACGUGCGCGGGGUAUACAUAUACAAUAAGUUUAUCCACAAUCAAGUUUUAUAUUUAUAAUUCCUAAAUAUCCUACACGGGAUUUAUUGCAAGUAUACGAAUCGUGAGCGAGUAUAGGGUAUUAAGGGUCGAUCCCACAGGGAAGAGUGACAAUUAUCGGUGUUUUUUGAAUUCUUUUAUUAUCUCAACUACCAUAAACAUAAAAUUAAUGAAAAUAAAACUAGAAAACUCCUAGAGAUAUGGAAUUCCUUACUACUCUUGCAAAUGAGAUUACCGGUUAAGUGAAUGCUAUUAUCUUGGUUAGUUAUGGCGUAAUUUCGUAAAGUAUGUGAAACCUACUCUCGUAGUGGAUCAACUAUACUUGUAGUUAUACUAUACCUACUCUCGUGGUUAUGAAAUUAACUACAAUCUCAUUUCUUUAUGAAAUUACAUGAACAAGUCACUAAAGCCACAAAUGUGCUCCUUUACUCUCGUGAGUGAAAUCCCUAGGUUUAUCACUUCCUUGAACUAGUGUUAAACUCCAAUUCUCAUUGUAAACUUAAUACCUUUAGAUAAUCACAAUUAAUGGUCUAUUAAUCAUGAUUAGCUAAGCAAAAGUGAUGAAUAACUUGCUCAAAAUAAUAUCAUCAAAUAACCAAGUAAACAUCGCUAACAAGAUAUAGAAAGUUCAUCCAUAACUCUAGGCAUAAACUUUAGAAACACAUAUAAAAACAUAAAUCGAAACUUAUAUUAUAGAUAAACAUGAAUUCAAAUACAAAAGAGAAAGUGAUAGGAGAGAAGUCACCCUUGUCACAUGAGCUCCAACUCUCCAUCUUUGCAUCUCCAAUUUUCAUCCAAAUCUAACUACAAAAACAAGAUGGAUAAACUACACUACCUAUAUUAUAUUACUCUAACUAAUGAACUAAGGAAACUCUAGUGAAAGUUACAUUUUUUGUGAGUUUCUCUAGCCUUCCAAAGUUUUUUAAAAUGCCCUCCAAAAGCUUUUAUAUAUAGAGGAUUCAAAAGCCAAAUGAGUUGUUUCUAGUUGUCAUUUUGAAACUCUCUAAGUCUGUUUCUCAAAGUGUCCAUGCAUCAUAUGAUCAUUUCCAGUCGGAAUCUUUGCAAAAAAAGUGAUAAAAAAGGUUGUUGAUAAGAGUUUAUUUUACGUAUUUUUAGUGUGUUUUAUUAGUUAAUUUUGGUUUGAUUAUUUAGUUUUAUAACUAAAAUAACUAAGGUUUUGGUAAAAAAACUACAUUUUAUGUUAAAAUGGCUAAACAUUGCAUUUUAUGGAUUUUUAUGGUAAAAAAACUUCAUAUUUUGUAGGUUUAAUGAUUCAAUCAUCAAAUGAAGUGCAUUGGGAAGAUAUUUGGAUGAUUGAAGAUGGAUUAAAGUGGUGAAAAAAAAAUAUGAAGUGUAAAAGGAAAAAUGCAAGAAAAGUCAGGUUUAACAACUCUGACACGUUUUGGUAUUUUGACUAUAUCUGGAGCUACACAGAUCGGAUCAAGGUGAUCUUGGUACCAUUUUGAAGCUAAGAGAUAUAUCUACAUUUGGUAUGAAGACAUCAAAGUCCAAUUCAGCCGUUUUCAUAGUCCAAAAGUUGAAAUACCGAAAUUCAACUCAGCUGUCCAAAGUGGAAAACAGAGCUCCGACCAGUCUAUAGUAUUUCGGUCAUAUCUCAGGCUACAAAGCUCCAAUUUGGAUGAUUCUUGAAGCAUUGAAAAGCUAACUCAAAGGGCUACAACUUUGCUGUUUUACACAAAAGCUAGUUCGGCCUUUAUGAGACAAAAUCGCAGAUUAAGUAAGGCCAAAGUGAAUACGCGAGUACACAAAACGUGACUUGUAACCGCGUUUUGUGUAGGCGCGUUUUCUGGCCGAAAUUCUGCAAUUUGACUCAGCCAUUUCCCUUGUGUUCAUACCACUUUCCAGCUAUAAGAUGCAAGGGAAUUCGGUGCACAUGCUUCAGAAGACAAAAUGGCAGACAAUAUGGCUUAUUUUCAAGUCAAAAACAAUGGUUUUUGACUAUCUUAACAAAAUGAGAUUUGAAGAAUCAUAGCAGCAAAUUUGGACUGGGAGAAGAGGAACUUUUCAUGAGUUUAUAUGCAGAGACAGAGAGCCAUUCAUUCAUUAUCAUACGGGGAGAGAACUUGAAGUGCAGAAAUGUAGUUCUUUCAUUUCCUUAGUGUAGGAUAGUGUAGUAAGUGUAGUUAAUCCAUUCUUGUAUAAUAGCUAGAUUAGGAUGAAGAUGGAGAUAAAGAAGAAGGAGUUGAAGCUCAAGUGACAUGGGUUAUCUCUACUCCAAUUCUUUAUCUUUUGUAUUGGAUUCUUAACUAUGGUUAUAAUGCAAGUUCUGGAAUUUAUGUUUAUUAUUUGUUUCUAAAGUUUAUGCCUUGGGUUUGGUUGAACUUCCUAUGAUUGUUAGUGUUUAUCAUUUGGCUAUUUAACUGCUAUGAUUUGAGCAAGUUAUUUAGCACUUUAGCUCUUUAAAUCAUGAUUAAUCUGGUACCAUUAAUUAUGAUUAUCUAAGGUGUUAUUUCUACAAUGAAAAUUGAGAUUUAACAUUAGUUCAAGAAGUGCUAAACAUAGGGAAUACACUCACGAGAGUAGAGGUGCACCUAUGGGGUUUUGGUGAUUUAUUUCAUGUAAUUUCAUUGAAGAAAUGAACUUGUAACUAAUUUCAUAACCAUGAGAAUAGGUAUGGAUUGGUUAUUAGUAUAAUUGAUUCACUACGAAAGUAGGAUUCAAAUGCAUAAGGAAAUUACACCAUAACUAGCCUAGAUGUAGUACUCAAUGAUCCAAAUAUAACACUUGCAUGAGUAGUUAGGGAUACCACAACCUAAGGAGCUUUUAUUUGUUAUUUUGUAUAAUUUCAGUAGGUUAAAUUUCUUAUAAUUCAUUGAUAGUCUAAAUAAUAGAGAAGUUUUAGUAAUACCGGUAAUUGUUCACUCUUCCCUAUGGGAUCGACCCGAUAUAUACCCUAAACUACUAGUUGAUCUGUAUACUUGCAGUGAACGGGUGUAAUUCGAUUUUUUAACUUGUACGUAUGUAAAAUACCCGUCAAGUUUUUGGCGCCGUUGCCGGGGAAGAUUUGGCAAUAUCGGUGUGAAGAGCAACUUUAUUAGUUUAGACAUUUUAUUAGUUAUAGUGUGAAUGUUGUUUUCUGUUAUUUUAGUGUUUUAAAUGUGUAUGUGUUUUAUCACCUAUUCUUCUUACUAAUUUUGCUCUUAAGUUGUUUAAAAGUAAUUUUAGGUGAUGAGAAAGAUAGGUCAAUUUGGAGGACAAUGCUUGAGAAGUGGAAGAUUGGCAAUGGAUGGUUAUCAAGUGCAAAGCUCCUUCAACAGAGGUAACCAAAAAUUUACUGAAUGUAUGUCUUUUGAAGAUGGUUUAAGGUGCUUAAAGGCUAAAUUUGAUGUUAUGAUAUUACAAGUUCAAAUGGACACAAUUAAGCAUGAAAUUGAGCAAGGGAGGAAUGUUAAUGCUUUUAAUUCUUAUCAUGUGAUUUGUGACUUGUGUGGAGGUUAUCAUGCUACUAAUACAUGUAUGCAAGCACAAAAUGUGGAUUAUUAUUAUGAAUUCGAGCAUUACAAUCCUUGUUUUGAUCAAUAUAGUGCUAAUUGGAGCAAUUCUCCUGCUUAUGGUUGGGAUAAUCAAUUUACUUAUAGUAAUUCUUCAUAUUUUUAUGAUUACCAAUCUGAAUGUGUCCAAUAUGAAUCAAAAUCAUCUUGGGAGUUGGCAAUAGAAAAAGUAGCUAAUGAUUCUAAGCCAUCUUGGGAGUUAGCUUUAGAAAAAUUAGCUAAUGCAACUUCUGACCGUUUUGAUAGGAUUGAGGAAAGAAUAGAUGAAUUAGCUUCUCACUUUGGUAGAAUACAUGAGCAAUUGAAUGCAUUGUGUGAAGUUAUUUUCUCUAAUAAUUUGCAAAACGAUCCUAGCAUGAAUGGUGGGAAUGUUGUAUGUGAAAAUGGGUUGCAUUUUGAUGAAAAUGAUGAAUCUCAAUUGUGUUUCAAUGAGCAAAUGUCCAUUUCACAUGAUAAUAUUGUUGGAACUAACUUUGAACCUCAAGAGGUGAGUUUUAAUGACUCAUUUUUCACCCCUCUUGAGGAGUGCAUUGAAAGUAUAGGUUCUAAAGGUAUUCCUGCCCAAGAUACUCUCAUGACAUUUCUUUUGGUAAGUUCUCAAGUGGUGCAUAUUCAAGAUAAUAUUUAUGAAACACUUGGAUUAGGUAAGUCACUUCUAUUUCUCACAUCAUUAGAUCAUGUGGCUUUUGCUAUAAAGUCACCUUUUAAUGAUCCACCACGACCUAAAAUGGUGGAUUAUUCUUUAACCAAGCCUCCUUGAUAAUGAGGUUCAAUAGUCGAGCCAACGACUAUAAAUAAAAGCGCUUAUUGGGAGGCAACCCAAUAUAUAUAUAUAUAUAUAUAUUUUUUUUUAGCUAUUUAUGUUAUUUUGGGGUGAUUUUAUGUUUACAGUAUGAGUUUGAGUUAUUUUGAUGUUUUUCAUUUGUAGGUAUUGGAAAUGAAAGCAAAAGUGACCAAAUGAGGUGAAAAAGGCGAAAUUUGAUCAAGGAACUCAACCCCUCGAUUUGAGUAAUUGUUGUUUUUGAUUUGUUAGAAGGGGUUAAAAUGCAUAUUUUGAUCAUUUUACAUGUGCAUGCAUUGAGAAUUUUAGCAAACAAAUGAUCUAUGAUGCAUUUUGAAAAUUUGGGGUAUCAUUUGUAAUUAUUCUUAAGUUAAAUUUCUGCUAAAUUUCGCAGCAGAAAAUGCAUUUUUCUAAAAAAACGCGCCAGUGAAUCGCGUUUUCAUAGAAUCGCGUUUUCAAUUCUGCGCCUAUAAUGAAGAAAACGCGCCUUAAAAAUGCGACAGAAAGUCGCGUUUUCCAGCCUGAUCAAAAAUUGAAAACGCGCCUUUAGAAACGCGACAUUAAAUCGCGUUUUUAAGCAUAGCCGCGUUUUCGAUCCUGCAAGAUAUGUGAAGAAACGCGACUUCAAAAAACACGGCUUGGUGGCGCGUUUUGAUGAGUCACGUUUUCUGAGCGAAAAUGCAGCUUCCUUGAUUCUCUUUUUCUUCUUUUUCUCAUAUAUUUUCUUGUACCUUGAGUUGCUUAUUGUAUUUUUUAUAGGUACAUCACCAAAACAAGAGCUUGAAGUUACGGAUCGCCGUUUUGAUGUCUUAAGCCUUUGUUAUCACUUUUGUUUCUCAUUUUCCAUUUUUAGGUUUACAUCACUAAUGGUUAUCCAAUGGAACUCAUGAAGCGUUGGAGAUACACGGACAAUGGAUCUUGAAGCUUCAUAUUCAAUCACAACAAUAGGGGAGUAUUACUUUCUUCAUCUUAAUUUCCCUUUUUACACAUUGAGGACAAUGUGCAUGUUAAGUGUGGGGGGAAGAAUUGAGAUUAUAUACAUUGUAUGUGAUUGAAUUAUUAGUUGCAAAUAUUGGACUUGUGUUAAAAUUCAAAAUUUUUCUAACAUCUUGUCCAAAAUUGCAAAUUUGCCCCAAAAAUUUUAAAAAUUUAAAUUUCAUCCAAAGGGGUAACAAAGUUCCAUACCAUUAGUAGUUCAAAUUCCUUCUACAUUUGAGAUAAAUAUAUGUGGUUUAAGCACUUCUUUUCUCAUUUAACUUGGAAAUGACUAUUAUGUGAUUAUAAUUUUUGCAUUUGUAAGAAAGUAUAUCUUUUAAAGUGGAGAAAAUUAUGCCUAUAUUUUUUUUUGCAUAUUUGAUGAAAUUUCUUCGCUUUAUUUGAUUUUAUAAGUUAAGUGAUAAAUAUGGUCAAUAAGUGCAAUACUCUUCUCAUGAUUAUUCUUUUGAGGAAUUUAUUAUUAUCUUUGCUGUAAAAAGAAAAAAAGAAAAAAAAGUGAAAAAAAAGAAGAAAAAAAAAUUUAUUUAUUCUACUCCAAUGAUUCUUGUACUUAGUAACCGGGAGUCUUCAUCUACAAAUGUCGACUUUCGCGUAAAACGGUACUUGAAUUAAGAGUAUGCAAAGCAACUUGAGUAUGUGAAGUGUUGAGUAACCGGUGAUCUUCAUCUAAAAAUGUUGAUCCUCGCGUAAAAAUAUACUUUCACAACUUAAGUAAUAUUAGCUAUAUUAUAUAAAUAAAUCCCUUUUUAAAUUAAAUAAGAAGAUGAUCAUGGGUUUAGAAAGCAUAUUAUUGACCAUAUAAGUUACUUACUUGUAAGAUUGGGUAAGGAUGAAAAAUGGAUUUGAACCUGUUAUAAUUACGGUAUAAUUGGCUCUCCUUUACUUGAUAUUAUGAGUACUUGAAUUUAAUUGAAUAAUUGCAUAAUGGUUAUUUACUUUGUUUUGAGGAAAUGAAGUUGAAAUGCUACAUAUGUUUAUUUUCAACUUUUGGAUCAUGGUUGGUUUGUAUUUCUUAUUGCUUGAGGACAAGCAAUGAUUCAAGUGUGGGGGUAUUUGAUAAGAGUUUAUUUUACGUAUUUUUAGUGUGUUUUAUUAGUUAAUUUUGGUUUGAUUAUUUAGUUUUAUAACUAAAAUAACUAAGGUUUUGGUAAAAAAACUACAUUUUAUGUUAAAAUGGUUAAACAUUGCAUUUUAUGGAUUUUUAUGGUAAAAAAACUUCAUAUUUUGUAGGUUUAAUGAUUCAAUCAUCAAAUGAAGUGCAUUGGGAAGAUAUUUGGAUGAUUGAAGAUGGAUUAAAGUGGUGAAAAAAAAAUAUGAAGUGUAAAAGGAAAAAUGCAAGAAAAGUCAGGUUUAACAACUCUGACACGUUUUGGUAUUUUGACUAUAUCUGGAGCUACACAGAUCGGAUCAAGGUGAUCUUGGUACCAUUUUGAAGCUAAGAGAUAUAUCUACAUUUGGUAUGAAGACAUCAAAGUCCAAUUCAGCCGUUUUCAUAGUCCAAAAGUUGAAAUACCGAAAUUCAACUCAGCUGUCCAAAGUGAAAAACAGAGCUCCGACCAGUCUAUAGUAUUUCGGUCAUAUCUCAGGCUACAAAGCUCCAAUUUGGAUGAUUCUUGAAGCAUUGAAAAGCUAACUUAAAGGGCUACAACUUUGGUGUUUUACACAAAAGCUAGUUCGGCCUUUAUGAUAGACAAAAUCGCAGAUUAAGUAAGGUCAAAGUGAAUACGCGAGUACACAAAACGUGACUUGUAACCGCGUUUUGUGUAGGCGCGUUUUCUGGCCGAAAUUCUGCAAUUUGACUCAGCCAUUUCCCUUGUGUUCAUACCACUUUCCAGCUAUAAGAUGCAAGGGAAUUCGGUGCACAUGCUUCAGAAGACAAAAUGGCAGACAAUAUGGCUUAUUUUCAAGUCAAAAACAAUGGUUUUUGACUAUCUUAACAAAAUGAGAUUUGAAGAAUCAUAGCAGCAAAUUUGGACUGGGAGAAGAGGAACUUUUCAUGAGUUUAUAUGCAGAGACAGAGAGCCAUUCAUUCAUUAUCAUACGGGGAGAGAACUUGAAGUGCAGAAAUGUAGUUCUUUCAUUUCCUUAGUGUAGGAUAGUGUAGUAAGUGUAGUUAAUCCAUUCUUGUAUAAUAGCUAGAUUAGGAUGAAGAUGGAGAUAAAGAAGAAGGAGUUGAAGCUCAAGUGACAUGGGUUAUCUCUACUCCAAUUCUUUAUCUUUUGUAUUGGAUUCUUAACUAUGGUUAUAAUGCAAGUUCUGGAAUUUAUGUUUAUUAUUUGUUUCUAAAGUUUAUGCCUUGGGUUUGGUUGAACUUCCUAUGAUUGUUAGUGUUUAUCAUUUGGCUAUUUAACUGCUAUGAUUUGAGCAAGUUAUUUAGCACUUUAGCUCUUUAAAUCAUGAUUAAUCUGGUACCAUUAAUUAUGAUUAUCUAAGGUGUUAUUUCUACAAUGAAAAUUGAGAUUUAACAUUAGUUCAAGAAGUGCUAAACAUAGGGAAUACACUCACGAGAGUAGAGGUGCACCUAUGGGGUUUUGGUGAUUUAUUUCAUGUAAUUUCAUUGAAGAAAUGAACUUGUAACUAAUUUCAUAACCAUGAGAAUAGGUAUGGAUUGGUUAUUAGUAUAAUUGAUUCACUACGAAAGUAGGAUUCAAAUGCAUAAGGAAAUUACACCAUAACUAGCCUAGAUGUAGUACUCAAUGAUCCAAAUAUAACACUUGCAUGAGUAGUUAGGGAUACCACAACCUAAGGAGCUUUUAUUUGUUAUUUUGUAUAAUUUCAGUAGGUUAAAUUUCUUAUAAUUCAUUGAUAGUCUAAAUAAUAGAGAAGCUUUAGUAAUACCGGUAAUUGUUCACUCUUCCCUAUGGGAUCGACCCGAUAUAUACCCUAAACUACUAGUUGAUCUGUAUACUUGCAGUGAACGGGUGUAAUUCGGUUUUUUAACUUGUACGUAUGUAAAAUACCCGUCAGUUGUGUAAAAAGAACACAAGUUACAGAGCAAGUUACAGCCUGAAUAUACUAAAAUGCAGGUAUAAAAUGCGGCCUAUGCCCUAGUUUUGAGCCCUCGUUUUGCUUUUUUUACAGGUUUGCCAAUUCUGGCCAGAUUUCAUUCUUGCUCUAUUUUUAGUCCAAUUUCUACUGAUAUUUAUUUGAUGAUGGAGACCGAACUAACUCUUGUACAAAACAUGAAAAUUGUAUCCCUUUGAGUUAGUUUUCCAAUGCCUUAAGAAUCAUUCAAUUUGGAGCUUUGUGGACCGCGAAAUGAUCAAAAUACCAUGACUGGUCAAUCUCUUGUUCCGCUUUUGACCAUGCAGAUGAGCUUCUGUAUGUCGACUUUUUGACAAUGAAGACAACUAAACUGGACUUCUAUUCUUCAUACCAAAUGUAGAUCUAUCUCUUAGGUCCAAAAUGGUUCAAAAAUCAUCUCAAUUUGAUCAUUGUAGCUCAAGAUAUUGCCAAAAUACUACAAUAUGUCAAAGCUGUGAAACUUGCUUCCUUUUAUUCUUGAUUGCAUUUCCUUUUUUGAAUUUUCUAUUCUCUUUUCAUCACUUUAAACUAUCAUCAAUCACCCAAUUAUCUUCUAAAACCAUGCUAUUUGAUGAUUGAAUCAUUAAACCUACAAAACAUGAAGUUUUCACCAUAAAAAUCCAUAGAAAUGUAAUUUUUACCACUUUAACCAUAAAAUGCAUUUUUCACUAGAAUUCUACUUAAUUAGCCAUAAAAGUAACUAAAACACACCAAAACUAACUAAUGAAACACACUUAAAACACGUAAAAUAUACACUUAUCACACGACCUUAAAAAUGCGACCUUAGGUCUUGUAUUCCACCCCACAUUUUCUCCUUUACAAGUUUGCACUUUUUGGGUAGAAUUUAUCCUUGCUCUGUUUUUUAUCCAACUGCAAUCAUAUUUUUCUUAAUGAUAAGGUUCACCUAGCUCUUGUACAAAACACAUCAAGAAUCAUCCAAUUUGGAGCUCUGUGGAUAGCAAAAUGACCAAAAUACCCUCAACUAGUCAGAACUCUAUUUCAACUUUCGACCAUAAAAAUGCACUUCUAUAUUUUGCCUUUUUGACAAUGAAAAUGACUGAACUGGACUUUGAUGUCCCAUAUCAAAUGUAGAUCCAUCUCUUAACUUCAAAAUGGUAUGAGAAUCACCUCAAUCCGAUGCUUAUAGCUCAAGAUAUAGUCGAAAUACGAAAAUAUAUCAAAACUGUGAAAAUUCCUUUCUUUUGUUCUUGUUUGCAUUCCAUCUUUGCACUUCAUGUCUUCUUUAAGCUAUUUCAAAUCAUCAAUAAUUAUUCAAAUAUGUUCUCAAUUCAUGCCAUUUGAUGAUUGAAUCCUUAAACCUACAAAACAUGAAGUUUUCACCAUUAAAAUCCAUAGAAAUGUAAUUUUUCACACUUAAACCACAAAAUACAUAUUUUCACUAGAAACUUAGUUAAUUAACUAUAAAAAUAGUUAAAACACAUUAAAACUAACUAAUAAAAUAUGCAAAAACAUGUAAAAUAUGCACUUAUCAGUAAGACAUUAUUGGCCAUGUACAGUCAAUUUGCAACUUAAAAAGUUUGUGGGUAAAGUCAGUUUGCAACUGAAGAAGUUGAUUAGAAGUUGAGUUUUGCUGAUAAGUACAUUGAUUCUAUUCAUUUGUUUAUUCUUUCCGAAAUUAUUAUAGUAUCCAUGACAGUGAGAUUUAUUUCACAUUCCAGUGGGAAGCGCAAAUAAUAAUUCUUAAGAAAUUCCAAGCCUAUUAUAAGCAAUUUUUUUGGUGCCAUGCUUGUGCAAGAAAUAGCCACUUUUUUUUUUUGCAAUUUUUUAGGUUAUUCUCUAAACACGGUUUUAAAUAAUUUUUAUUUUUUGUUAUUACGUUGUCGUCCAGAUAUCACAUCCACAACAUUGAAACAUAAAUAAGUUUAAGAACUUCAAUAAUUGGACUAAGUUUCUUGCUGCACUUUGCUUAUUGAUUGAACUCUAGGACCUACUUGCUACUGGAACCGAGACCUCAGCGACUACAAUAGAUGGGCCAUUUCAGAGCUACUGAAAAACCCAGAAAUAUUCUACAGGGCAGCUGAAGAACUCGAUCGUGUUAUUGGUCAGAAUCGAUGGGUGAAAGAGAAGGACAUGCCAAAUCUUCCUUACAUAUAUAGAGGCUAUUGUUAAAGAAGCAAUGCGUAUGCACCCCGUCGCAUUGCUAGCGCCAAGAUGUGCUCGCAAAGAUUGCAAAGUUGCAGGGUACGAUAUCGAAAAGGGAACUCGAGUCCUCCCCGAAUUGUGGGAGACGACAGAGGAAUUUUGCCCCGACAGAUUCACGGGAAAGGACAUUGAAUUCAAAGGGCAAGACUGUAAGUUCCGAGCAUUUGGUGCUGGAAGAAGAAUGUGCCCAGGGUACAAUUUAGGCCUCAAGGUUAUCCAAUCUAGUUUGGCCAAUCUUUUACAUGGAUACAGAUGGAAGUUGCCAAAUGACAUGAUGCCUGAGGACCUGGACAUGGAAGAAAUAUUUGGGCUCACUACACCAAGAAAGAUCCCACUUGUUGCCAUUGUUGAGCCUCGGCUUCCUCGUAAUCUUUAUUCACUGUGAUUCUCUACAUGUAUGUUUGAUCUCCCAGUAUCAUCAUUAUCAACUUGUGUUCAAAUAAAUCAGCUCUGCAAGUUUAGAAUUUGUAGCUGCGCUUAUAUGUGUUUGCCAAUUGCCACAACGCUGCAAACCCUUGUAGUUGGUGCAUGGCAUAUGCGUAAUCACUGAGAUUGUUAUGCCUAUUUAAAUCCAAAUUUGUGCACAAUUUUGUGAAACUGUGAAUAUGUACACCCCUGAUGUUCCAAAUACAAUCUAUAACAUUCUGACGCUAAUUUAAAUCUGUAAUGGCAGGUUUACAGUCAAAGCAAUGUGCUCUCUGCCAUCUUUCCUCUUAGCAUGGCCAGUGCCAGAAGUUGUUCCUACUUCCUAUGCACCUCUAAAUCAUCCCACUAGAUUGGUGCUGCUUUCCAUACUUGUUGGGAGGGAGAGAGAGAGAGGAAAGAAAAGAGGGGAGGGUGGGGUGGCUGUGGCAGUGGUGGCAAUGGGAAGGGAGGGAGGAGGAAGAGCAGCAGUGGUGUGGUGUGGGGAGGAAGAGGAAGAAGGGCGGAAAGAAAGGGAAAAAAAAAAAGGAAAGAAAAAAUAAGCAAGAUCAAAUGUCAAAAUGUCACAAAUUUAUAAUAUUACCGUUGUGCUCUUUAUAACUAUUUAACUAAAAAACCAAAACAAAAAGAGAAUUUUUAAAAGACCAAAAAAUAUAGACGAAAAAAAAAAACCAAAUUGCUAUCCAAUAUUGGUCCAUAUUUCUUUGUAUCAAGGUGGUGGUGGGAUAGUAAAAGAUAUGAGUAAAUUAAAAUCUAGUUAAAAUCAAAAAGUUAGAAGGAUUUCUUUGAAGUUAUAUUUGGCGGAUUUUUUUUUGGAAGUAACAAUAUUAUGAGGAUUUGCCUUGGGGUAAUAGCAGCUUGACUUCAAUAUUGAAGAUUGUCCGGCACAUAAAAUCCCAAGUCGUAGUCUCCAAGAUAUAUGUAUGAAGUGACGACGAGGUUCUUGAUAAAUCCAUUUAUGACAGCACCAUGUGCAACUCAUGAUAAAUUCAUAGGCUUUGAAUCUCCAUUCGGCCAUAAUUAAAUGUAAUUUUAUUUAAAAAAUACAGAUGGAUACAUAGUACGUCCAUUUGAUUAAAUAGUGAUUCAAUUUCUUACGGAUUACUUUAGGAUCUCUUCGAGCUUUUUCCCAUUAUGUAGUAGGCUAUCUUAUCGACAAAAAAAAAAAAAAAUCUCCAUUCGGCCAAAAAUCAUACUCCCUCCGUCCCAGAAAGUGUGUCGUAUUUCGGGGGAAUUGUAAUUAUUAUCAACAGUGCAAGACUUUUAAAUGAUUUGUAUUUAAGUUCCGGCAAUGUCCCUUGACUUUCAAUGUAUUCAUAACGUGGGUGAAUGAUAAAAGGGGCACAGGUUGUGAUAAGACAUACGGGACCCAAAAGAUUUAAAUGCCUCCACACUACUUUGAAAGAAAGUGUCAUGCACGAUUGCUAUUACCAUUUCACGUGAGAGUCACGAACUAUUGAGUGUAGUGUUGGUACUUGGUAAGUGAACAGAAAUGUGUCACAUUGGGCCCACUAAAAGGUAAGAAAAGGCUGUCACAUUGAAGGGUAUGGAGCGGAAAUGUGUGAAAACUUUCAUUGCCAAUUUUAGUAAGUGACAAUUAUUUUGAGACGGAUAAAAAAGAAAAGUAUGACAUUAUUAAUGGGACGGAGGGAGUAAACCCAUGGGCCAAAAAAUAGAUAAACAAGUUGAGUACUACGCUUUGUCAUGUACCGUGAUAUUAUUAUUAUUGCGAAAGAAAGUAUUCUCUAUUAUGACAGGACCAUGUGCAACUCCUGUCAGACUCAGGAGCUUUCACCUUUCCGACCGGACUCGCUGUGUCGGGCGAAGGAGAUCAGAUGUCAAAUUUCAGUUGAUUUGCGGCUGGAAGGCUAAGGAAGCUGUAGGUCCUGAAGCAAAAUUAGAUGGUUGCCAUACAACAACAAAUCUUUUUAAAGGUUUUUUUUAACUAAAUAAAAUAUUCCCUCUCAAAUUAGUUUUCUUUUUCCAAAUUUCAGUUAUGUGAGUAAAUGAAAGCUUUUACAACCAUUAGUUCUUUUAAAAUAUUUUAAAGCGUAACUGCAUGUACACAUUCUAUUAUAUUCAUUUGUCUCUUCUUCAGUUUUUAUACUCCAUCUAGGAUGUCUAAUCAUAAUUCCGUAAAAAAUUAAAAACUAUAUAUAUUUUUCUUUAUAAUUAGUCAAUUAUAAAUUGGUAAAGUUCUAAUCAAUUUCAUCCAUUAUCUAACUUGCAAGAAAGGAAUAGAUAUCUCCUAAAUACAAAGUUCAAAAGGAAUUUCUAGUCUUUUAUAAUCACGUUCACAUGAUGUUUCGGUGGAUAUCCAUUUGUCCAUUUUCCGUUAAAGAAACUUUACUUAUUACAAUCUUUUUCUUUACACUCCUCUAAAAUAGUAUGAAAUAUUACCAUAAUUCUUCACAUGUCACUAUUAAACCGAGGGUUAAGGAUUAUCGGAAAGUAAUCAUUAAAUAGUAUAUGAGUUUAUGUUUAGUGUCUUACAUUCAUUAAAUUUAUUGUUUUUUGGAAAAUUAAAGUUCGAAGAUAAAAAGAAGUUAAUGCAAAUGCACGGCUGAAUAACUGGUGGUCUAAUUCUAUUGCUUGCUUACCCACAAGAAUGACCACGCCAACACUACAUUAAUACACUCAUACUUUUGCAUUUCUUAAUUACUUGCAUUUCUUAUUCUUUCUUCCCAACAAUUCUACAGCCCAUAAUCAAUUUUAAUUCAGUAAUCUUCAUACAACUCUGAACAUAUAACUAUAUUUAAUAUAAAUUCUUGACAUACCUGCAUUUCAAUUCUCAAAAUCUUAUGGCAUGCCUUACUUUAUAAUGGUGUUUAAUUACUUAAGUUCUUAAACGAUCAAUCAUAUCAAAAUCAUAAACUUGUACCGUACAAUAGGAUGCUCUUCACAUCAUGAUCAGGAGUUUAGCAAUUAAUCUCCAUCAUGUCACAAUUAAAUUCAAUUUCAUAGCUAGGGGUGAAAUUGCAAAGCAUUUGGUUAAUCGGAUGUUUGAAGAAAUUUAAUUAAUUAAAUUUAAUAUGAAUUUAGUUCAGUCAAAUAGAUUUCGAUAUGGUCUUGGUAAAAACAAAAUUAUGAGAGUGCUUAAUUAGUUUGAAAGUAACUCUAAGUUCUCGAUUUUUUAUUUUAACUGGUAUAACACACACACACGUACAAUAUGUUACACAUGUUCACUUCACGUUAUUGUGGAUAUUUAAUAUUCUUAAUUACUACUUUCUUUUAUUCUUUUUUCCAUCAUCUCUUCACUUUCCUUCUUUCUUUUUCUUGAUCACUUGCAUUUUGUGAAAUUAUUUUUCAUGUUUCCAAUUGUUUGCUUUAAUUGGUUUUUCAUAUUUGUAAUUAUUUUUCAUUAAUAUCAAUUUCAUCCUAUUUAUGACUAACAUCUGACAGUGAUUUAUGCCUUUCCAAUUUGACAAUUAUUUGGUUAAAAAAACUUUAAAAAGAUUUGUUUUAUUGCAUUGCAAUUUUUGGGGACCAAUUAAUUUUGCUUCAGGUCCACAACUUCCUUGCUAAGCGUGUUGUGAGGGUUACACAGCGGCCUUGUUUAAAUUGUGCUUUUUUGCAAAAAAGAAUUUUACAUUUUUCGUAAAUAUAUUUUUUUCAAUUAUCUUUCUUAUCUCAUCUCAGAUGCAUCAAAUAGUUACAUUAUAUUUUUUUAUAAAGCUCCUAAAAAUAGCAAUGCAAAUGGAGCCCUUCCAGCCGCAAAUCAAUUGAGUUUUGAUGUCAUUUUCUGUGUGAAUUCCUUCUUUUGACAUGUAUCCACUUCGUAUGGUUGGAUCUUCCCGCUAUAGACCGAUCCGGUAGCAUAGUUUUUUUGCUCAAUCACUUAAGCUAUCAUGUUAGAGAUCAAUAAUCAGAGGCUUACAAACUUUCGUAAAAAUUUUCAUUUGAACAGCUAAAUAACCAAAGUCUGACGGCUAAACAAAACAAAAAGCUCAUUAUAAUUGCUGCUAUUUGUACAACUUUUCUGUGAUUAAAUAAAAUUCCCUUCCUCGUUAAAAUAAAUGAAAGAAAAUAUGAAGGAGAAAUUAAAUUGAUCUAAUUGUUUAACAAUUACUAGUAUUUCUUUUUGUGAUUUGAACUACUUCCUUUCCAUGUUUCGUACACUUAAAUCAGUGGCUUACACGUUUUCGUAUUGCACUAAUUUUCUUUUGUAAACCAAUAAUCAAAACUUAAAACUUAUUGCACUAGUAGUUAUUGAGUGACUUCCACGCCUUUGCUCAUUAUAAAUACCGGCCCCCUCCACAUUCCAAACACACUCAACCAUCUUCCUCCUUGUGCUACAAUCUGCCACCUCCAUCACCCCCACUGCUCCCACAAAAUGGAAAGCUUUUCUCCCAACUGGGCUGCGUGUGCACUCGCGUGGGUUGCAACGGUGGUUAUUAUCACCCAACUCUCGAAGCAUUUCCAUCAGAAAAAACUCAACCUCCCACCAGGUCCAAGGCAAUGGCCAAUAAUUGGAAACUUAAACCUCAUUGGCACCCUUCCUCAUCGCUCACUCCAUCA
rnacentral:lncRNA from 1 species